AUAGGUUAGUCCCAAAAAUAAUAUAAAAGUGUAUAAUAAAGCCCAUAAACAUCCAAAACAGAUAAUAUAAUUGCAUGGAACAAACAAAAAUUAUAGAUACGUUCGAGACGUAUCAACAUCCCCAAGCUUAAUUCCUGCUCGUCCUCGAGUAGGUAAAUGAUAAAAAUGGAUUUUUUGAUGCGGAAUGGUACCUAACAUAUUUAUCCAAGUAAUUCUCUUUAUUGUGGCAAGAAUAUUCAGAUCCGAAAGAUUCAAGACAAAGGUUUAAUAUUGACAUAAAAACAAUAAUACUUCAAGCAUACUAACAAAGUAAUCAUGCCUUCUCAAAAUAACAUGGCCAAAGAAAGCUAUCCCUACAAAAUCAUAUAGUCUGGCUAUGCUCCAUAUUCAUCACACAAAAUAUUUAAAUCAUGCACAACCCCGAUGACAAGCCAAGCAAUUGUUUCAUACUUUUGAUGUUCUCAAACUUUUUCAAUCUUCACGCAAUACAUGAGCGUGAGCCAUGGACAUAACACUAUAGGUGGAAUAGAAUGGUGGUUGUGGAGAAGACAAAAAGGAGAAAAUAGUCUCACAUCAACUAGGGGUAUCAAUGGGCUAUGGAGAUGCCCAUCGAUAGAUGUCAAGGUGAGUGAGUAGGGAUUGCCAUGCAACGGAUGCACUAGAGCUAUAAGUGUAUGAAAGCUCAACAAAAAAAAACUAAGUGGGUGUGCAUCCAACUCGCCUGCUCACGAAGACCUAGGGCAUUUUGAGGAAGCCCAUCACUAGAAUAUACAAGCCAAGUUCUAUAAUGAAAGAUUCCCACUAGUAUAUGAAAGUGACAACAUAGGAGACUCUCUAUCAUGAAGAUCAUGGUGCUACUUUGAAGCACAAGUGUGGUAAAAGGAUAGUAGCAUUGCCCCUUCUCUCUUUUUCUCUCAUUUUUAUGUUUUUUUGUUUUUUUGGGCCUUCUCUUUUUUUAUGGUCUCUUUUUCUCUCUUUUUUUAUUUUUUUAUUUUUCGUCCGGAGUCUCAUCCCGACUUGUGGGGGAAUCAUAGUCUCCACCAUCCUUUCCUCACAUGGGACAAUGCUCUAAUAAUGAUGAUCAUCACACUUUUAUUUACUUACAACUCAAGAAUUACAACUCGAUACUUAGAACAAAAUAUGACUCUAUAUGAAUGCCUCCGGCGGUGUACCGGGAUGUGCAAUGACUCAUGAGUGACAUGUAUGAAAGAAUUAUGAAUGGUGGCUUUGCCACAAAUACGAUGUCAACUACAUGAUCAUGCAUGGUAAUAUGACAAUGAUGAAGCGUGUCAUAACAACCGGAACAAUGGAAAGUUGCAUGGCAAUAUAUCUCGGAAUGGCUAUAGAAAUGCCAUAAUAGGUAGGUAUGGUGGCUGUUUUGAGGAAGGUAUAUGGUACCGGCAAAAGUUGCGCGGUACUAGAAAGGCUAUCAAUGGUGGAAGGAUGAGGGUGCGUAUAAUCCAUGGACUCAACAUUAGUCAUAAAGAACUCACAUACUUAUUGCAAAAAUCUAUUAGUUAUCGAAACAAAGUACUACGCGCAUGCUCCUAGGGGGAUAGAUUGAUAGGAGAAGACCAUCACUCGUCCCCGACCGCCACUCAUAAGGAAGACAAUCAAUAAAUAAAUCAUGCUCCGACUUCAUCACAUAACGGUUCAUCAUACAUGCAUGCUACGGGAAUCACAAACUUCAACAGAAGUAUUUCUCAAAUUCACAACUACUCAACUAGCAUGACUCUAAUAUCACCAUCUUCAUAUCUCAAAACAAUCAUCAAGUAUCAAACUUCUCAUAGUAUUCAAUGCACUUUAUAUGAAAGUUUUUAUUAUAUCCAUCUUGAAUGCCCAUCAUAGUAGAACUAAUUUUAUAACCCAAGCAAAUUACCAUGCUGUUCUAAAUACUCUCAAAAUAAUAUAAGUGAAGCAUGAGAGUUCAUCUAUUUCUUCAAAAUAAAACCACUGUCGUGCUCUAAAAAGAUAUAAGUGAAGCAUUAGAGCAAAUGACAAACUACUCCGGAAGAUAUAAGCGAAGCACAAUGAGUAGUUGAAUAAUUAUGUAACUAUGUGAAGACUCUCUAACUUUUAAUAAUUUUAGAUCUUGGUAUUUUAUUCAAACAGCAAGCAAAACAAAAGAAAAUAAAAUGACGCACCAAGCAAAACACAUAUCAUGUGGUGAAUAAAAAUAUAGCGCCAAGUAAAGUUACCGAUGAACGAAGACGAAAGAGGGGAUGCCUUCCGGGGCAUCCCCAAGCUUAGGCUCUUGGUUGUCCUUGAAUAUUUCCUUGGGGUGCCUUGGGCAUCCCCAAGCUUAGGCUCUUGCCACUCCUUAUUCCAUAGUCCGUCGAAUCUUUACCCAAAACUAUAAAACUUCACAACACAAAACUUAACAGAAAACUCGUAAGCUCCGUUAGUAUAAGAAAAUAAAUCACCACUUAGGUACUGUUGUGAAUUAAUUCUAAAUUCAUAUUGGUAUAAUAUCUACUGUAUUCCAACUUAUAUAUGGUUCAUACCCUCUGAUACUACUCACAGAUUCAUCAAAAUAAGCAAACAAUACAUAGAAAACAGAAUCUGUCAAAAACAGAACAGUCUGUAGUAAUCAGGAGGUUUAGAAUACUUCUGGAACCCCAAAAAUUCUAAAAUAAAUUUCUGGACGUCAUUAAUUUAUCUAUUAAUCAUCUUCAAAAAUAAUUAACUAAAUAUCACUCUCCAUUAAAAAAUGGUAGAUAAUCUCAUGAGCGCUAAAGUUUCUGUUUUUUACAGCAAGAUCGCAAAGACUUUCCCCAAGUCUUCCCAAAGGUUCUACUUGGCACAAACACUAAUUAAAACAUAAAACCACAUCUAAACAGAGGCUAGAUGAAUUAUUUAUUAUUAAAUAGGAGCAAAAAGCAAGGAACAUAAAUAAAAUUGGGUUGCCUCCCAACAAGCGCAAUCGUUUAACGCCCCUAGCUAGGCAUGAUGAUUUCAAUGAUGCUCACAUAAAAGAUAAGAAUUGAAACAUAGAGAGCAUCAUGAAGAAUAUGACUAGCACAUUUAAGUCUAAACCUAUUAUUAUGCAUAGGGAUUUUGUGAUUAAACAACUUAUGGGAACAAUAAUCAACUACCAUAGGAGGGCGAAACAAGCCUAACUUUAAAACUUUAAGCACAUAGAGAGGAAACUUGAUAUUAUUGCAAUUCCUACAAGCAUAUGUUCCUCCCCCAUAAUAAUUUUCAGUAGAAUCGUGAAUUAAUUCAACAUUAUAACUAUCACAUAAAUCAUUAUUUUCAUGAUCUACAAGCAUGGAAAUUUUAUUACUCUCCACAUAAGCAAAAAAUUUCUCGUUUGGAAUAGUGGGAGUAUCAUAAGAGACUCGAACACUAUAAAUUGUUUCCACGUUGAAAGAAUAAAGUUCAGAAAAAGGGUAAUCGUAAUCAUGACAAGUUUUAUAAAUAUAAUCAUCACUACUUUUUAUAGCAUACGUGUCAUCACAAUAAUCAUCAUAAGUAGCAACUUUGUUCUCAUCAUAAUCAAUUGAAACCUCUUCCAAGAUAGUGGAAUCAUUACUAAAUAAAGUCAUGACCUCUCCAAAUCCACUUUCAUAAUUAUCACAAUAAGAUUCAACAUCCUCCAAAAUAGUGGGAUCAUCACUUCCUAAAGUUGACACUCUUCCAAACCCACUUUCAUCAAUAUAAUCAUCACAAAUAGGAGGCAUGCUAUCAUCAUAAUAAAUUUGCUCAUCAAAACUUGGGAGACAAAAAAUAUCAUCUUCAUCAAAAAUAGCUUCCCCAAGCUUGGGACAAACAUUAAUUGCAGCAAAUAUAUUCUCAAACAUGUCAUUCUCAUCAAACAUAGCAUCCCCAAGCUUGGCUCUUUUCAUAUCAUAAGCAUAAUCACUCUCAUCAUUAAUAGUAUGGAUAGCACCAAUAGUAUAGCAAUUAUCAUCUUCACAAUGAGUAAUAGGGGAAACAUCAUUUGGGAGGGAUACCUUUUCACCUUUACAUCUCCGUCUUUUCUUUUUCUUCUUCACAUUAUGUGUGGGUUCAAUCCUCUUUUUGGAGCUCCUUAUUAAUGAGAUUGGUUGAAUAGAAGGCUCCUCCUCGUUACCUGAUUCAUCAUAAGAAAUAAUAGGAGGAUAUUGGGAAGCCUCUUCCCUUUCAUUAGUAUUCUCUUCAUCCUCUAUUUCUUUUCUUUUCUUUAUGUAAUUGGCAAUAUAAGGAUUUUCAAUGCAGUUCACCGCAUAAUACAUAAAAAUUUCUUCUAGAUCAAUAUCGAGGAAUUUCUCAUGGUUAUAUUCUGGAAUAUGCUUAGUUAUACGUUUCAUUUAUUCAUAACCCAAAAGCAAACUAAGUUCAUUAUGAUGUGAAAGGGAAAUCAAAUCAUCAUAAUUUUUGGACACGAUACGAUCAUGAAACAAUUUGCAUUUCAGAUUUAAGUGACCAUGUUCAUUGCAAAGUUCAGAAGUAUGGCAAAGGAAUUUUAAAUUUUCAGCACAAACAUCUAGCCUCUCUUGCAACCAUUUGGUUUCUAAAUACUUAUGCCUCUUGCAACUUCCCUAUUUGGUGUGUACUUGCAAACUCUAUGCACUCCACAAAAGUUGACAUGCUUAUAAGAGACAUUUUCAUCAUGACUAGUGCAAUCAUCAUUAGUGCUAUGGAUAUUCAAGGAGUUCAUACUAACAACAUUGCAAUCAUGCUCGUUAUUCAAAGAUUUAAUGCCAAACAUUUUAGAGACUUCUUCUUCUAGCACUUGAGCACAAUUUCCUUUCCAUCAUUCUCACGAAAGAAAUUAAAAAGAUGAAGCGUAUGAGGCAAACUCAAUUCCAUUUUUUUGUAAUUUUCUUUUAUAAACUAAACUAGUGAUAAAACAAGAAACUAAAAGAUUCGAUUGCAAGAUCUAAAGAUAUACCUUCAAGCACUCACCUCCCCGGCGACGGCGCCACAGAAGAGCUUGAUGUCUACCACACAACCUUCUUCUUGUAGACGUUGUUGGGCCUCCAAGUGCAGAGGUUUGUAGGACAGUAGCAAAUUUCCCUCAAGUGGAUGACCUAAGGUUUGUCAAUCCGUGGGAGGCACAGGAUGAUGGUUUUUGCAAUAUGGAUAGUAGAUAAUGGUUUUUGUAAUCUGAAAAUAUAAAAAUAGCAAGGUAACUAAUGAUAAAAGUGAGCACAAACGGUAAUGCAAUGCGUUGAAAUGAGGCCUAGGGUUCAUACUUUCACUAGUGAAAGUUCCCUCAACAAUAAUAACAUAAUUGGAUCAUAUAACUAUCCCUCAACAUGCAACAAAGAGUCACUUCAAAGUCACUAAUAGCCGAGAACAAACGAAGGGAUUAUUGUAGGGUACGAAACCACCUUAAAGUUAUUCUUUCCAAUCAAUCUAUUGGGCUAUUCCUAUAAGUGUCAUAAACAACCCUAGAGUUCGUAGUAAAAUAACACCUUAAGACACAAAUCAACCAAAACCCUAAUGUCACCUAGAUACUCCAAUGUCACCUCAAGUAUCUGUUGGAAAUAUGCCCUAGAGGUAAUAAAAAAUUAGUUAUUAUUAUUAUUAUAUUUCAUUGUUCAUGAUAAUCGUUUAUUAUCCAUGCUAGAAUUGUAUUGAUAGGAAACUCAGAUACAUGUGUGGAUACAUAGACAACACCAUGUCCCUAGUAAGCCUCUAGUUGACUAGCUCGUUGAUCAAUAGAUGGUUACAGUUUCCUGACCAUGGACAUUGGAUGUCGUUGAUAACGGGAUCACAUCAUUAGGAGAAUGAUGUGAUGGACAAGACCCAAUCCUAAGCCCAGCACAAGAUCGUGUAGUUCGUUUGCUAAAACUUUUCUAAUGUCAAGUAUCAUUUCCUUAGACCAUGAGAUUGUGCAACUCCCGGAUACUGUAGGAGUGCUUUGGGUGUGCCAAACGUCACAACGUAACUGGGUGGCUAUAAAGGUACACUACAGGUAUCUCCGAAAGUUUCUGUUGGGUUAGCACGAAUCAAGACUAGGAUUUGUCACUCCGUGUAAACAGAGAGGUAUCUCUGGGCCCACUCGAUAGGACAUCAUCAUAAUGUGCACAAUGUGACCAAGGAGUUGAUCACAGGAUGACGUGUUACAGAACGAGUAAAGAGACUUGCCAGUAACGAGAUUGAACAAGGUAUCGGGAUACCGACGAUCGAAUCUCGGGCAAGUAUCAUACCGCUAGACAAAGGGAAUUGUAUACGGGAUUGAUUAAAUCCUUGACAUUGUGGUUCAUCCGAUGAGAUCAUCGUGGAGCAUGUGGGAGCCAACAUGGGUAUCCAGAUCCCGCUGUUGGUUAUUGACCGGAGAGUUGUCUCGGCCAUGUCUGCAUGACUCCCGAACCCGUAGGGUCUACACACUUAAGGUUUGAUGACGCUAGGGUUAUAGGGAAAGUAUGUACACGGUUACCGAAUGUUGUUCGGAGUCCCAGAUGAGAUCCUGGACGUCACGAGAAGUUCCGGAAUGGUCUGGAGGUAAAGAUUAAUAUAUAGGAAGUAUGGUUUUGGCCACCGGAAGUGUUCUGGGCAUCACCGGUAGUGUACCGGGACCACCAGAGGGGUCCGAGGGUCCACCAGCCCCGGAGGGCUACAUGGGCCAAUAGUGGGAAGGGACCAGCCCCUAGGUGGGCUGGGGCGCCUUCCACCAAGGCCCAAGGCACCUCCAAGAGGGGAGGGGGGCAAACCCUAGGGCAGAUGGGCCCUAAGGCCCACCUCAGGUGCGCCUCCCCCUCUCCCCCUUGUGGCCGCCACCCUAGAUGGGAUCUAGGGCUGCCGCCACCCCUAGGGAGGAAACCCUAGGUGGGGGCGCAACCCUCCCUCUUCCCCUAUAUAUAGUGGAGGCAAAGGGGCAGCCCAACACAUGAAGUUCCUCCCCUGUUGGCGCAGCCCUACCCCUCUCCCUCCUCGUCUCUCGUAGUGCUUGGCGAAGCCCUGCUGGAGUCCCGCGCUCCUCCACCACCACCAUGCCGUCGUGCUGCUACUGGAUGGAGUCUUCCCCAACCUCUCCUUCUCCCCUUGUUGGAUCAAGGUGUAGGAGACGUCACCGGGCUGUACGUGUGUUGAACGCGGAGGUGCCGUCCGUUCGGCACUAGGAUCAUCGGUGAUUUGGAUCACGACGAGUACGACUCCAUCAACCCCAUUCACUUGAACGCUUCCGCUUAGCGAUCUACAAGGGUAUGUAGAUGCACUCUCCUUCCCCUCGUUGCUAGAUUACUCCAUAGAUUGAUCUUGGUGAUGCAUACAAAAUUUUAACUUUCUGCUACGAUCCCCAACAGUGGCAUCAUGAGCUAGGUCUAUGCGUAGUUUCUAUGCACGAGUAGAACACAAAGUAGUUGUGGGUGUCGAUAUUAUCAAUUUACUUGCCGUUACUAGUCUUAUCUUGAUUCGGCGGCAUCGUGGGAUGAAGCGGCCUGGACCGACCUUACACGUAUGCUUACGUGAGACUGGUUCCACGGACUGACAUGCACUAGUUGCAUAAGGUGGCUAGCGGGUGUCUGUCUCUCCCACUUUAGUCGGAUCGGAUUCGAUCAAAAGGGUCCUUAUGAAGGGUAAAUAGAAAUUGGCAUAUCACAUUUUGGUUUUCGCGUAGGUAAGAAACGUUCUUGCUAGAAACCUAUAGCAUCCACGUAAAAACUUGCAACAACAAUUAGAGGACGUCUAACUUGUUUUUGCAGCAUAUGCCUUGUGAUGUGAUAUGGCCAAAAGGAUGUGAUGAAUGAUAUAUGUGAUGUAUGAGAUUGAUCAUGUUCUUGUAAUAGGAAUCACGACUUGCAUGUCGAUGAGUAUGACAACCGGCAGGAGCCAUAGGAGUUGUCUUAAUUUAUUUAUGACCUGCGUGUCAACAUAAACGUCAUGUAAUUACAUUACUUCAUUGCUAAAGCGUUAGCCAUAGUAGUAGAAGUAAUAGAUGACGAGACAACUUCAAGAAGACACGAUGAUGGAGAUCAUGGUGUCAUGCCGGUGACAACGAUGAUCAUGGAGCCCCGAAGAUGGAGAUCAAAAGGAGCAAAAUGAUAUUGGCCAUAUCAUGUCACUAUUUGAUUGCAUGUGAUGUUUAUCAUGUUUUACAUCUUAUUUGCUUAGAACGACGAUGGCUUAAAUAAGAUGAUCCCUCGCAAUAAUUUCAAGGAAAGUGUUCCCCCUAACUGUGCACCGUUGUGAAGGUUCGUUGUUUCGAAGCACCACGUGAUGAUCGGGUGUGAUAGAUUCUAACGUUCGAAUCCAACGGGUGUAAGCCAGAUUUACACACGCAAUACACUUAGGUUGACUUGACGAGCCUAGCAUGUACAGACAUGGCCUCGGAACACGGAAGACCGAAAGGUCGAACAUGAGUUGUAUAGAAGAUACGAUCAACAUGAGAUGUUCACCGUUGAUGACUAGUCCGUCUCACGUGAUGAUCGGACACGGCCUAGUCGAUUCGGAUCAUGUUUCACUUAGAUGACUAGAGGGAUGUCUAUCUGAGUGGGAGUUCAUUAAAUAAUUUGAUUAGAUGAACUCAAUUAUCAUGAACAUAGUCCAGAUUGUCUUUGCAAAUAUGUUGUAGAUGAAUAGCUCACGUUGUAGCUCCCUAUUUCAAUACGUCCCUAGAGAAAGACCAAAUUGAAAGAUAUUGUAAGCAAUGAUGCAGACUAGGUCCGUAGUCCGAGGAGUGUCCUCACUGCUACACAGAAGGCUUACGUCUUGGAUGCACCGCUCGAUGUGGAAACCCCUACAACGUCGUCUGUGGAUGUUAUGAACACCUAAUAGACACGUCCUGAUGACUACUUAAUAGUUUAGUGCACCAUACUUUACGGCUUAGAAUCGGGAUUCCAAUGACGUUUUGAACGGCAUGAGACAUAUGAGAUGUUCCAAGAGCUGAAAUUGGGAUUUCAGGCUCGUGCCCGUGUUGAGAGGUGUGAGACCUCUGACAAGUUCUUUUGCCAACAAGAUGGAGGAGAAUAGCUCAGCUAGUGAGCAUGUGCUCAGAAUGUCUGGGUGCUACAAUCACUUAAAUCAAGUGGGAGUUAAACUUCCAGAUAAGAUAGUGAUUGAUAGAGUUCUCUAGCCACUAUCACUAAGCUACUAGAUCUUCAUGAUGAACUGUGACAUGCAAGGGAUGGAGUUGAUCCCGAAUCUCUUCGCGGUGCUUAAGACCGCAAAAGGUAGAAAUCAAGAAGGAGCAUCAAGUGUUGAUGGUUUAACAAGACCACUGGUUUCAAGAAGGGCAAGGGCUAGAAGGGAAACUUCAUGGAUGGCAAACCAGUUGCCGCUCCAGUGAAGGAACCCAAGGUUGAACCCAAACAUGAGACUAAGUGCUUCUAUUGUAAAGGGAACGGUCACUGGUAGCGGGAUUACCCCAAAUGCAUGGUAGAUAAGAAGGCUGGCAACUUCAACAAAAUUUAUACGUGUCAUUAAUGUGUACCUCACUAGUACUCCUGGUAGCACCUAGGUAUUGGAUACCGGUUCAGUUACUAUUAUUGGUGACUUGAAGCAAAAGCUACGGACUAAACGGAGACUGGCUGAGGGUGAGGUGACGAUGUGUGUUGGAAGUGUUUCCAAAGUUGAUGAGAUCACCAUCGCACGCUCCAUCUGCCUUCGGGAUUAGUAUUGAACCUAGAUAAAUGUUAUCAGGUGUCUACGUUGAGCAUGAAUAUGAUUAGAUCAUGUUCAUUGCAAUACGGUUAUUCAUUUAAGUUAGGGAAUAAUGGUUAUUAUGAUUACAUGAAUAAUACCUUUCAUGGUCAUGCACCCUAUGUGAAUGGUUCAUUGAAUCUCGGUCGUGGUAAUACACAUGUUCACGCCAAAAGAUAUAGAGUUAAUAAUGAUAGUACCACUUUCUUGUGGCACUGCCGCUUAGGUCUUAUUGGCGUAAGAUGGAUGAAGAAACUCCAUGUCGAUGGAUGUUUGGAGUCACUUGAUUUUGAAUCGCUUGACACAUGCGAGCCAUGCCUCAUGGGCAGGAUGACUAAGACCCCGUUUUCAGGUACAAUGAAACGGGCAAGUGACUUGUUGGAAACCAUACAUGCUGAUGCAUGUGAUCCAAUGAGAAUUGAAGCGUGCGGUGGAUAUCGCUAUUUUCUCAUCUUGACUGACGAUUUGAGUAGAUAUAGGUAUAUUUACUUAAUGAAGCACAAGUCUGAAACGUUUGAAAAGUUCAAGCAAUUUCAGAGUGAAGUUAAGAAUCAUCAUAACAAAAAGAUCAUGUUCCUACGAUCUGAUCAAAAGGGGAUUUUCUGAGUUAUGAGUUUGGCAAUCACUUAAGAUAUUGUGGAAUUGUUUCACGGUUGAAGCCACCUGGAACACCACAGAGUAAUGGUGUGUCCGGACGUUGUAAUCGAACCUUAUGAGAUAUGGUGCGAUCUAUGAUGUCUCUUAGCGAUCUAUCGUUUUCAUUUUGAGGUUAUGCGUUAGAGACAGCUGCAUUCACUUUAGAUAGGACACCAUCUAAGUCCGUUGAGACGACAUCGUAUGAACAUUGGUUUGGCAAGAAACCAAAGUUGUCGUUUCUUAAUGUUUGGGGCUGCGAUGCUUAAGGCUUCAGCCAGAGAAGCUCGAACCCAAAGCGGACAAACACAUCUUCAUAGGAUACCCAAAGGUGACAGUUGGGUAUACCUUCUAUCUCAGAUCCGAGGGCAAAUUGUUUGUCGCUAAGAACGGGUCCUUUCUCGAGAAGGAGUUUCUCUCGAAAGAAUUGAGUGGGAGGAAGAUAGAACUUGAUGAGGUUGUCGAACCUUUAUUUCAACCAGAGAAUGAUGCAACACAGAAAGAUGUUUUCUGUGGCACCUACGUCUGUUGAAUAGGAAGUUAAUGAUAGUGAUCAUGAAGCUUCGGAUCAAGUUGCUAUCGAACCUCGUAGGUCGACAAGGAUAUGUACUACUCCUAAGUGGUACGGUAAUCCUGUCUUAGAUAUCAUGUUGUUAGAUAACAAUGAACCUACGAGCUAUGGAGAAGCGAUGGUGGGCCCAUAUUCCGACAAAUGGUUAGAAGCCAUGAAAUCCGAAAUAGGAUCCAUAUAUCAGAACAAAGUAUGGACUUUGGUGGACUUGCCCGAUGAUCGGCAAGCCAUUGAGAUAAAUGGAUCUUUAAGAAGAAGACGGACGUGGGCGGUAAUGUUACCGUCUAUGAAGCUCGACUUGUGGGAAAGAGUCUUUUCACAAGUUCAAGGAGUUGACUACGAUGAGAAUUUCUCACUCGUAGCGAUGCUUAAGUCCAUCGGAAUCAUGUUAGCAUUAGCUGUAUUUUUCGAUUAUGAAAUCUAACAGAUGGAUGUCAAAGCAAGUUUUCUUACCAGUUUUCAUAAGAAAGAGUUGUAUGUGAUACAAUCAAAGUUUUGUCGAUCCUAAGGAUGCUAAAAGGUAUGCUGGCUCCAGCAAUCCUUCUAUGGACUAGAGCAAGCAUCUCGGAAUCGGAAUAUAUGUUUUGAUGGAGUGAUCAAAGCUUUUAGGUUUAUACAAUGUUUGCUAGAAACUUGUAUUUACAAGAAAGUGAGUGGGAGAACUACAACAUUUCUGAUAAGUAUACGUGGAUGACAUAUUGCUGAUUCGAAAUAAUGUAGAAUUUCUGGAAAGCAUAAACGGUUGUUUGAAAAGUGUUUUUCAAAGGAAGACCUGGAUAAAGCUGCUUACAAAUUGGGCAUCAAGAUCUAUACAGAUAGAUCAAGACGCGUGAUGAUACUUUCAAAGAACGCACACCUUGACAUGUUUUUGAAGGAAUUCAAAAUAGAUCAGUCAAAGAAGGGGUUCUUACCUGAGUUGUAAGGUGUGAAGUUGAGUAAGACUCAAAGCUUGACCACGACAGAAGAAAGAGGAAGGACGAAGGUCGUCCCCUAUGCUCUUGUCAUAGGCUCUAUACGGUAUGCCAUGCUGAGUACCGCACCUGAUGUGGGCCUUGCCACAUGUCUGGCAAGAGGGUACAAAGGUGAUCUUGGAUUGGAUCACCAGAUAGCGGUCAAAAUUGUCCUUAGAGGAAUAAGGAAAUGUUUCUCGGUUAUGGAGGUGAUAAAGAGUUCGACGUAAAGAGUUACGUCGAUGCAAGCUUAACACCUAUCCGGAUAGCUCUAAGUAGAGAUACCGAAUACAUAUAAUGGAGCAAUAAUUUGGAAUAGCUCCAAGUGGAACGUGGUAGCAGCAUCUACGAUAUGACAUAAAGUUUUGGGAAAUACAUAGGGAUCUGAAUAUGGCAAGACCCGUUGACUACAACCUCUCUCACAAGCAUAACAUGAUCAAACCCAGAACUCUUUGAGUGUUUAUCACAUAGUGAUGUGAACUAGAUCAUUGAGUCUAGUAGACUCUUGGAUGUUGGUCACAUGGCGAUGUGACCUGUGAGUGUUAAUCACAUGGCGAUGUGAACUAGAUUAUUGACUCUAGUGCAAGUGGGAGACUGUUGGAAAUAUGCCCUAGAGGCAAUAAUAAAUUAGUUAUUAUUAUUAUAUUUCAUUGUUCAUGAUAAUCGUUUAUUAUCCAUGCUAGAAUUGUAUUGAUAGGAAACUCAGAUACAUGUGUGGAUACAUAGACAACACCAUGUCCCUAGUAAGCCUCUAGUUGACUAGCUCGUUGAUCAAUAGAUGGUUACAGUUUCCUGACCAUGGACAUUGGAUGUCGUUGAUAACGGGAUCACAUCAUUAGGAGAAUGAUGUGAUGGAUAAGACCCAAUCCUAAGCCUAGCACAAGAUCGUGUAGUUCGUUUGCUAAAGCUUUUCUAAUGUCAAGUAUCAUUUCCUUAGACCAUGAGAUUGUGCAACUCCCGGAUACCGUAGGAGUGCUUUGGGUGUGCCAAACAUCACAACGUAAAUGGGUGGCUAUAAAGGUACACUACAGGUAUCUCCGAAAGUGUCUGUUGGGUUGGCACAAAUCGAGACUGGGAUUUAUCACUCCGUGUAAACGGAGAGGUAUCUCUGGGCCCACUCGGUAGGACAUCAUCAUAAUGUGCACAAUGUGACCAAGGAAUUGAUCACGGGAUGAUGUGUUACGGAACGAGUAAAGAGACUUGCCGGUAACGAGAUUGAACAAGGUAUCGGGAUACCGACGAUCAAAUCUCAGGCAAGUAUCAUACCGCUAGACAAAGGGAAUUGUAUACGGGAUUGAUUAAAUCCUUGACAUCGUGGUUCAUCCGAUGAGAUCAUCGUGGAGCAUGUGGGAGCCAACAUGGGUAUCCAGAUCCCGCUGUUGGUUAUUGACCGGAGAGUUGUCUCGGCCAUGUCUGCAUGACUCCCGAACCCGUAGGGUCUACACACUUAAGGUUCGAUGACGCUAGGGUUAUAGGGAAAGUAUGUACGCGGUUACCGAAUGUUGUUCGGAGUCCCGGAUGAGAUCCCGGACGUCAAGAGAAGUUCCGGAAUGGUUUGGAGGUAAAGAUUAAUAUAUAGUAAGUAUGGUUUUGGCCACCGGAAGUGUUCCGGGCAUCACCAGUAGUGUACCGGGACCACCGGAGGGGUCCGGGGGUCCACUAGGUGGGGCCACCAUCCCCGGAGGCCUACAUGGGCCAAUAGUGGGAAGGUACCAGCCCCUAGGUGGGCUGGGGCGCCUCCCACCAAGGCCCAAGGCACCUCCAAGAGGGGAGGGGGGCAAACCCUAGGGCAGAUGGGCCCUAAGGCCCACCUCAGGUGCGCCUCCCCCUCUCCCCCUUGUGGCCGCCACCCUAGAUGGGAUCUAGGGCUGCCGCCACCCCUAGGGAGGAAACCCUAGGUGGGGGCACAGCCCUCCCUCUCCCCCUAUAUAUAGUGGAGGCAAAGGGGCAGCCGAACACAUGAAGUUCCUCCCCUGUUGGCGCAGCCCGACCCCUCUCCCUCCUCGUCUCUCGUAGUGCUUGGCGAAGCCCUGCUGGAGUCCCGCGCUCCUCCACCACCACCAUGCCAUUGUGCUGCUGCUGGACGGAGUCUUCCCCAACCUCUCCUUCUCCCCUUGCUGGAUCAAGGCGUAGGAGACGUCACCGGGCUGUCUGUGUGUUGAACACGGAGGUGCCGUCCAUUCGGCACUAGGAUCAUCGGUGAUUUGAAUCACGACGAGUACGACUCCAUCAACCCCGUUCACUUGAACGCUUCCACUUAGCGAUCUACAAGGGUAUGUAGAUGCACUCUCCUUCCCCUCGUUGCUAGAUUACUCCAUAGAUUGAUCUUGGUGAUGCGUAGAAAAUUUUAAAUUUCUGCUAUGAUCCCCAACAGUAUCCGCGGGUAUGAUUAUACGAUAUGCAUAACACAAUCUCAUAUUCAUCUAUUCAACCAACACAAAGAACUUCAAAGAGUGCCCCAAAGUUUCUACCGGAGAGUCAAGACGAAAACGUGUGCCAACCCCUAUGCAUAAGUUCACGAGGUCACGGAACUCGCAAGUUCAUCACCAAAACAUACAUCAAGUGGAUCACGUGAUAUCCCAUUGUCACCACAGAUAAGCACAUGCAAGACAUACAUCAAGUGUUCUCCAAUCCUUAAAGACUCAAUCCGAUAAGAUAACUUCAAAGGGAAAACUAAAUUCAUCACAAGAGAGUAGAGGGGGAGAAACAUCAUAAGAUCCAAAUAUAAUAGCAAAGCUCGCGAUACAUCAAGAUCGUGUCGACUCAAGAACACGAGAGAGAGAGAUCAAACACAUAGCUACUGGUACAUACCCUCAGCCCAGAGGGUGAACUACUCCCUCCUCAUCAUGGAGAGCACCGGGAUGAUGAAGAUGGCCACCGGAGAGGGAUUCCCCCCUCCGACAGGGUGCCGGAACGGGUCUAGAUUGGUUUUCGGUGGCUACAGAGGCUUCUGGCGGCGGAACUCCCGAUCUAUUGUGUUCCUCCAUGUUUUUAGGGUAUAUGGACCUAUAUAGGCAAAAGAAGUCGGUUAGGGGAGCCACGAGGGGCCCACGAGGGUGGGAGGCGCGCCCAGGGGGAAAGCGCGCCUCCCUGCCUCGUGACCACCUCGAAGCUUCCCUGACGUCUACUCCAAGUCUCCUGGAUUGCUUCCGUUUCAAAAAUAACUCUCCCGAAGGUUUCAUUCCGUUUGGACUCCAUUUGAUAUUCCUUUUCUUCGAAACACUGAAAUAGGCAAGAAAACAACAAUUUGGACCGGGCCUCCAGUUAAUAGGUUAGUCCCAAAAAUGAUAUAAAAGUGUAUAAUAAAGCCCAUAAACAUCCAAAACAGAUAAUAUAAUAGCACAGAACAAUCAAAAAUUAUAGAUACAUUGUAGACAUAUCAGCCUCCAUCAGGGCUAAGGCCGCCGCUGCGGAACGGACAGCUGGUGUGCCGCUCUCGCCAGUUGCUAUCCCCGAGGCAGAUGUUGCUGUCGCCACCUGAGAAGCAACAGCGGCCAUUUGGGCUGUCUUUGCGGCCCGUUCACAAAUUGCGGCCGCGCUCAUGCACCUUGUUAGCACGCGCAUGGCGGUUGCAGCCGCGCUCUCGCCGGAGUGGGCCACCGAAGUUGCCCUCAUGACGCGGGUCCACGUGCCCAUCUUUCACCGACGAUGAUUGACCAAUGAAAUGAUAUUUGGGGAGCGAGCUAGUGUCCUUGAGACGCCGGUUGUGGACUGUAGCCGACACACCUUCUCACGUAAGCCAUAGGCGUACUAUACACCGAUGGUGCUCUAAGAUAUUUUGUACUACAUCUCACACGGUUGCUGAUAAUAAACUGUGUGCGAUCUACUUGAUUUUUCAUCUUGAUUUGAAUUACAUAAUUGGGUCACAACGGCAAUGGACGUUGUUUGAAUUGCUAGACCUUUUAUCUGGAGUGAACAUACAACUAUAUAUGUGUCGUAAAAGAAUUGGAAUUAUUGAGGGUUCAUUUGAAUAUUUUAUACAUUAAAUUGGUUUUCUAGCCAUUUCAGGUGAACAAUUCAAAUUUGAACUACAUGCACAUGCUCCAGUGCAUAUAAAUUGGUUGAAAAUCAAAUCCGUGUCCUUGGGUGCAUGCUUAGGUCCCAUGCAAGAAAUGAGAAUGAACUUCAAACACCAGGGCACCGUUGAUUGCCGGCAAAACAUUGAGAUGCCUAGUUUUUAAAUUCUAGCAAAUCCAAAACUCGUCUGAAAUUCAUGAAACCUGGCAUGCUAUCAUGGAGCGGCAUCAACAUGUCGUGGUACAAAUUUUUUCCUAUUUGGGGCAGGUUUGGGUAUAUGCUUCUCACAAACCGGAGCUUCUCACAACAAGCAUGAUGGUUUUCGGUAGGGAACGUCCCACCUUUGGGGACGAAAUGAUAUCCAUUGCCUCUUAUUGCUUUCAAAUUUCUUUCCGGUGUCAACAUAGAACAACAAAAGUGUUGUGUGAUUUUUUGUGAUUUUUCGGGGUUCGUUUGGACAUUUUUAUGCAUUAACUGAGUUUUCAAUGCAUUUUAUGUGCAUAAUUCAAAUUUGUACUACAUGCACAUGCUCCAGUGCAUAUAAAUUGGUUGAAAAAUCAAAUAUGUGUCCUUGGGUGCAUGCUUAGGUCCCAUGCAAGAAAUGAGAAUGAACUUCAAACACCAGGGCACCGUUGAUUGCCGGCAAAACAUUGAGAUGCCUAGUUUUUAAAUUCUAGCAAAUCCAAAACUCGUCUAAAAUUCAUGAAACCUGGCAUGCUAUCAUGGAGCGGCAUCAACAUGUCGUGGUACAAAUUUUUUCCUAUUUGGGGCAGGUUUGGGUAUAUGCUUCUCACAAACCGGAGCUUCUCACAACAAGCAUGAUGGUUUUCGAUAGGGAACGUCCCACCUUUGGGGACGAAAUGAUAUCCAUUGCCUCUUAUUGCUUUCAAAUUUCUUUCUGAUGUCAACAUAGAACAACAAAAGUGUUGUGUGAUUUUUUGUGAUUUUUCGGGGUUCGUUUGGACAUUUUUAUGCAUUAACUGAGUUUUCAAUGCAUUUUAUGUGCAUAAUUCAAAUUAGUACUACAUGCACAUGCUCCAGUGCAUAUAAAUUGGUUGAAAAAUCAAAUAUGUGUCCUUGGGUGCAUGCUUAGGUCCCAUGCAAGAAAUGGGAAUGAAUUUCAAACACCGGGGCACCGUUGAUUGCUGGCAAAACAUUGAGAUGCCUAGUUUUUAAAUUCUAGUAAAUCCAAAACUCGUCUGAAAUUCAUGAAACUUGGCAUGCUAUCAUGGAACGGCAUCAACAUGCCGUGGUACAAAUUUUGUCCCAUUUGGGGCAGGUUUGGGUAUAUGCUUCUCACAAACCAGAGCUUCUCACAACAAGCAUGAUGGUUUUCGGUAGGGAACGUCCCACCUUUGUGGACGAAACGAUAUCCAUUGCCUCUUAUUGCUUUCAAUUUCUCGUGUCAACAUAGAACAACAGGAGUGUUGUGUGAAUUUUUGUGAUUUUUCGGGGUUCGUUUGAACAUUUUUAUGCAUUAACUGAGUUUUCAAUGCAUUUAUGUGCAUAAUUGAAAUUUGAACUACAUGCACAUACUCCAGUGCAUAUAAAUUGGUUGAAAAAUCAAAUAUGUGUCCUUGGGUGCAUGCUUAGGUCCCAUGCAAGAAAUGGGAAUGAAUUUCAAACACCGGGGCACCGUUGAUUGCCAGCAAAACAUUGAGAUGCAUGGUUUUUAAAUUCUAGUAAAUCCAAAAAUCGUCUGAAAUUCAUGAAACUUGGCAUGCUAUCAUGGACCGGCAUCAACAUGCCGUGGUACAAUUUUUGUCCCAUUUGGGGCAGGUUUGGGUAUAUGCUUCUCACAAACCAGAGCUUCUCACAACAAGCAUGAUGGUUUUCGGUAGGGAACGACCCACCUUUGUGGACGAAACUAUCCAUUGCCUCUUAUUGCUUUCAAUUUUUGGUGUGAACAUAGAACAACAGGAGUGUUGUGUGAAUUUUUGUGAUUUCUCGGGGUUCAUUUGGACAUUUUUAUUCAUUAACCGAGUUUUCAAUGCAUUUAUGUGCAUAAUUCAAAUUUGAACUAUCACAUGCUCCAGUGCAUAUAAAUUGGUUGAAAAAUCAAAUAUGUGUCCUUGGGUGCAUGCUUAGGUCCCAUGCAAGAAAUGGGAAUGAAUUUCAAACACCAGGGCACCAUUGAUUGCCGGCAAAACAUUGAGAUGCAUGAUUUUUAAAUUCCAGUAAAUCCAAAAUUCUGUUAACCAUUCACGUGACGCCACGUGUCUGAUACGUCUCCAACGUAUCUAUAAUUUUUAUUGCUCCAUGCUAUAUUAUCUACUAUUUUGGACAUUAUUGGGACUAAUCUAUACUUUUAUAUUAUUUUUGGGACUAACCUAUUAACCGGAGGCCCAUCCCAGAAUUGCUGUUUUUUUGCCUGUUUUAGGGUUUCGAAGAAAGGAAUAUCAAACAGAGUCCAAACGGAAUGAAACCUUCGGGAACGUGAUUUUCUCAACGAAUAAGACCAGAGAGACUUGGACCCUACGUCAAGAAAAGAAACAGGAGGCCACGAGGUAGGGGGGCACGCCUGCCUACCCUAGGCACGCCCUCCACCCUCGUGGGCCCCCUGUUGCUCCACCGACGUACUCCUUCCUCCUAUAUAUAUCCACGUACCCCCAAACGAUCAGAUACGGAGCCAAAACCCUAAUUCCACCGCCGCAACUUUCUGUAUCUACAAGAUCCCAUCUUGGGGUCUGUUCCGGAGCUCCGUCGGAGGAGGCAUCGAUCACGGAGGGCUUCUACAUCAACACCAUAGCCCCUCCGAUGAAGUGUGAGUAGUUUACCUCGGACCUACGGGUCCAUAGUUAGUAGCUAGAUGGCUUCUUCUCUCUUUUUUGAUCUCAAUACAAUGUUCUCCCCCUCUCUUGUGGAGAACUAUUCGAUGUAAUCUUCUUUUUGCGGCGUGUUUGUUGAGAGCGAUGAAUUGUGGGUUUAUGAUCAAGUCUAUCUAUGAAUAAUAUUUGAAUCUUCUUUGAAUUCUUUUAUGUAUGAUUGGUUAUCUUUGCAAGUCUCUUCGAAUUAUCAGUUUGCUUUGGCCUACUAGAUUGAUCUUUCUUGCAAUGGGAGAAGUGCUUAGUUUUGGGUUCAAUCUUGCGGUGUCCUUUCCUGGUGUCAGUAAGGGCAGCAAGGCACGUAUUGUAUUGUUGCCAUCGAGGAUAACAAGAUGGGGUUUUCUUCAUAUUGCUUGAGUCUAUCCCUCUACAUCAUGUCAUCUUGCUUAAGGCGUUAUUCUGUUUUUAACUUAAUACUCUAGAUGCAUGCUGGAUAGCGGUCUAUGAGUGGAGUACUAGUAGUAGAUGCAGGCAGGAGUCGCUCUACUUGUCUCGGACGUGAUGCCUAUAUACAUGAUCAUACCUAGAUAUUCUCAUAACUAUGCUCAAUUCUGUCAAUUGCUCAACAGUAAUUUGUUCACCCACCGUAGAAUACUUAUGCUCUUGAGAGAAGCCACUAGUGAAACCUAUGGCCCCCGGGUCUAUCUUUAUCAUAUUAAUCUCCUACUACUUAGUUAUUUACUUUGCCUUUAUUUUACUUUGCAUCUUUAUCAUAAAAAUACCAAAAAUAUUAUCUUAUCAUAUCUAUCAGAUCUCACUCUCGUAAGUGGCCUUAUAGGGAUUGACAACCCCUAUUUGCGUUGGUUGCGAGGAUUUAUUUGUUUUGUGCAGGUACGAGGUACUCGCGCGUAGCCUCCUACUGGAUUGAUACCUUGGUUCUCAAAAACUGAGGGAAAUACUUAUGCUACUUUGAUGCAUCAUCCCUUCCUCUUCGGGGAAAACCAACGCAGUGCUCAAGAGGUAGCAACAAGGAUUUCUGGCACCGUUGCCGGGGAGGUCUAUGCAAAAGUCAACAUACCAAGUACCCAUCACAUACCCUUAUCUCCCGCAUUACAUUAUUUGCCAUUUGCCUCUCGUUUUCCUCUCCCCGCACUUCACCCUUGCCAUUUUAUUCGCCCUCUCUCUCUAUCCUCCCUCUCUAUUUGCCUUUGUUGUCCGCUUGCUUUUUGUUUGCUUGUGUGUUAGUUUGUUUGCUUGUCGUUAUGGCUAGCCCCUUAUCUUCUCCGUUGUCUCCCGAAAAUGAAAUUCUAAAUUUUAAGCAAAGGGAGGGAGAAAAUCUAAAAGAUGCUUGGUAUAGAAUUUGUAAUGCUCAAAAUAGAUCUACUAGGAAGCAAUCUACUUCCGUUCUCCUUCGCAAUUUUUAUGUAGGCAUUACUCCUUGGCACCAUUAUGUUCUUGAUACUAUUACCGAAGGGAACUUUUUAGGUAGCCAUACUUUUGAUUCUUAUAAUGCUAUGUUAGAUUUAUUUGGCUCACCCCCUCUCUUGGUUAAUGGAACUAUAUUAACUUUGGAGCAUGUAACACAAAGGCUUGAAAUUAUUGAAAAUAAGGUUGCUACCAUAGAAUUAAUUGAAAAUUUGGAUAAAAAGAUCCACAGCCGAAUAUCUCAAUAUGGAUCUAAAGUAGGAGUUACUUUGAAAGAUAUUAAAGAAAAGGAACCCAUAGUUAAUGAGAAAAUAAAUCACGAUUCCGUUAGGAUCGAUAAACUUGAGAAUAUUAUUACCAACUUGGGAACCGCUUUUUCUUCCAUAAAGAAUACUCCAAGUCCUUCCACUGAAGUUGCCAAGCUUAUGUACGUUCCUAAAAAUAAGGGUGAAUCAUCUAGUAAGGAAAAUGCGGAUCUCAAAUCUAUAAGUAUUCAUCCCAAUCUUUUUGCUAACCAUUUGUUACAAAUGAAUUUUUCGAUCUUGUGCCUAAAAGUUUGAUAAUUAAUAAAAAGAAAGAAAUUCUAAAGAUGGUAGAUGCCUCAUUGAAAAAUUUCCUACUAAAGAUGGCAAUACCUAGAUCUAUUCUUGCUUGUUAUGCCUAGCUAGGGGCGUUAAACGAUAGCGCUUGUUGGGAGGCAACCCAAUUUUAUUUUUAUUCCUUGCUAUUUGCUCCUGUUUAGUAAUAAAUAAUUUCUCUAGCCUCUGUUUUGGUUGUGUUUUUUGUGUUUAAUUAGUGUUUGUGCCAAGUAGAACCGUUGGGAAGACUUGGGGAAAGUCUUGUUGAACUUGCUGUAAAAAACAGAAACUUUAGCGCUCACAAGAACUACUGCCAUUUUUAUUUGGAAAGUGAUAUUUAGUUAAUUAUUUUUUAAGAUGAUUAAUAGAUAGAUUCCUCACGUCCAGCAAUUUAUUUUAGAAUUUUUUGGGUUCCAGAUCUUGCGCUAGCUACAGAUUACUACAGACUGUUCUGUUUUUAACAGAUUCUGUUUUUCAUGUGUUGUUUGCUUAUUUUGAUGAAUCUAUGGCUAGUAAAAUAGUUUAUAAACCAUAUAGAAGUAGGAAUACAGUAGGUAUAACACCAAUAUAACUAAAUAAUGAGUUCAUUACAGUAUCUUGAAGUGGUCUUUUAUUUUCUUUCGCUAAUGGAGCUGACGAGAUUUUCUACUUUAAGUUUUGUGUUGUGGAGUUUUCAAGUUUUGGGUAAAGAUUUGAUGGAUUAUGGAACAAGGAGUGGAAAGAGCCUAAGCUUGGGGUGGUCCAUGACACCCCCAAGAUAAUCUAAGGACACCUAAGAGCCAAAGCUUGGGGAUGCCCCGGAAGGCAUCCCCUCUUUCGUCUACUUCUAUCGGUAACUUUACUUGGAGCUACAUUUUUAUUCGCCACAUGAUAUGUGUUUUGCUUGGAGCGUCUUGCAUUAUUUGAGUCUUUGCUUGUUAGUUUAACACAAUAAUCCUUGCUGUACACACCUUUUGAGAGAGCCAUAUAUGAUUUGGAAUUUGUUAUAAUACUCUAUGUGCUUCGCUUAUAUCUUUUGAGUUAUAUAAUUUUGCUCUACUACUUGACUUAUAUCUUUUAGAGCACAAUGGUGGAUUUGUUUUAUAGAAACUGUUGAUCUCUCAUGCUUCACUUAGAUUAUUUUGAGAGUCUUUAUAGCAUGGUAAUUUGCUUAAAAUCCUAAUAUGCUUGGUAUACAAUAUUAAUAAUAAAACUUUCUUAUGAGUGUGUUGAAUACUAUGACAAGUUUGAUACUUGAUAAUUGUUUUGAGAUAUAAAGAUGGUGAUAUUAUAGUUGUGCUAGUUGAGUAGUUGUGAAUUUGAGAAAUACUUGUGUUGAAGUUUGUGAUUCCCGUAGCAUGCACGUAUGGUGAACCGUUAUGUGAUGAAGUCGGAGCAUGAUUUAUUUUUUGAUUGCCUUCCUUAUGAGUGGCGGUCGGGGACGAGCGAUGGUCUUUUCCUACCAAUAUAUCCCCCUAGGAGCAUGCGCGUAAUACUUUGCUUUGAUAACUUGUAGAUUUUUGCAAUAAGUAUAUGAGUUCUUUAUGACUAAUGUUGAGUCCAUGGAUUAUACGCACUCUCACCCUUCAACCUUUGCUAGCCUCUCUAAUACCGCGCACCUUUCGCCGGUAUCAUACACCCACCAUAUACCUUCCUCAAAACAGCCACCAUACCUACCUAUUAUGGCAUUUCCAUAGCCAUUCUGAGAUAUAUUGCCAUGCAACUUUCUACCGUUCCGUUUAUUAUGACACACUCCAUCAUUGUCAUAUUGCUUAGCAUGAUCAUGUAGUUGACAUCGUAUUUGUGGCAAAGCCACCGUUCAUAAUUCUUUCAUACGUGUCACUCAUGCAUCAUUGCAUAUCCCGGUACACCGCCGGAGGCAUUCAUAUAGAGUCAUAUUUUGUUCUAAGUAUUGAGUUGUAAUUGUUGAGUUGUAAGAAAAAUAAAAGUGUGAUGAUCAUCAUUAUUAGAGCAUUGUCCCAGUGAGGAAAGGAUGAUGGAGACUAUGAUUCCCCCACAAGUCGGGAUGAGACUCCGGACGAAAAAUAAAUAAAAGAGGCCAAAGAAGCCCAAAUAAAAAAGAAGAGAAAGAAAAGAGGCCAUAAAAAAGAGAAAAGGCCCAAAUAAAAAAAUGAGAGAAAAAGAGAGAAGGGACAAUGUUACUAUCCUUUUACCACACUUGUGCUACAAAGUAGCACCAUGAUCUUCAUAGUACAGAGUCUCUCAUGUUAUCACUUUCAUAUACUAGUGGGAAUCUUUCAUUAUGGAACUUGGCUUGUAUAUUCCAAUGAUGGGCUUCCUCAAAUUGCCCUAGGUCUUCAUGAGCAAGCAAGUUGGAUGCACACCCACUUAGUUUCUUUUUGAGCUUUCAUAUACUUAUAGCUCUAGUGCAUUCGUUGCAUGGCAAUCCCUACUCACUCAUAUUGAUAUCUAUUGAUGGGCAUCUCCAUAGCCCGUUGAUACGCCUAGUUGAUGUGAGACUAUCUUCUCCCUUUUUGUCUUCUCCACAACCACCACUCUAUUCCACCUAUAGUGCUAUAUCCAUGGCUCACGCUCACGUACUGCGUGAAAAUUGAAAAAGUUUUGAGAAUGUCAAAAGUAUGAAACAAUUGAUUGGCUUGUCAUCAGGGUUGUGCAUGAUUUAAAUAUUUUGUGUGGUGAAGAUAGAGCAUAGCCAGACUAUAUGAUUUUGUAGGGAUAACUUUCUUUAGCCAUGUUAUUUUGAGAAGACAUAAUUGCUUUGUUAGUAUGCUUGAAGUAUUAUUAUUUUUAUGUCAAUAUGAACUUUUGUCUUGAAUCUUUCGGAUCUGAAUAUUCAUACCACAAUUAAGAAGAAUUACAUUAAAAUUAUGCCAAGUAGCACUCCGCAUCAAAAAUUCUGUUUUUAUCAUUUACCUACUCGAGGACAAGCAGGAAUUAAGCUUGGGGAUGCUUGAUACGUCUCCAACAUAUCUAUAAUUUUUUAUUGCUCCAUGCUAUAUUAUCUACUGUUUUGGACAUUAUUGGGCUUUAUUAUCCACUUUUAUAUUAUUUUUGGGACUAACCUAUUAACCGGAGGCCCAACCCAAAAUUGUUGUUGUUUGCCUGUUUUAGGGUUUUGAAGAAAAGGAAUAUCAAACGGAGUCCAAACGGAAUGAAACCUUCGGAAACGUGAUUUUCUCAAUGAAUAAGACCAGAGAGACUUGGACCCUACGUCAAGAAAAGAAACAGGAGGCCACGAGGUAGGGGGGCGCGCCUGCCUACCCUAGGCGCGCCCUCCACCCUCAUGGGCCCCCUGUUGCUCCACCGACGUACUCCUUCCUCCUAUAUAUAUCCACGUACCCCCAAACAAUCAGAUACAGGGCCAAAACCCUAAUUCCACCGCCGCAACUUUCUGUAUCCACGAGAUCCCAUCUUGGGGCUUGUUCCGGAGCUCCGCCGGAGGGGGCAUCGAUCACGGAGGGCUUCUACAUCAACACCAUAGCCCCUCCGAUGAAGUGUGUGUAGUUUACCUCAGACCUACGGGUCCAUAGUUAGUAGCUAGAUGGCUUCUUCUCUCUUUUUGGAUCUCAAUACAAUGUUCUCCCCCUCUCUUGUGGAGAACUAUUCGAUGUAAUCUUCUUUUUGUGGUGUGUUUGUUGAGACCGAUGAAUUGUGGGUUUAUGAUUAAGUCUAUCUAUGAAUAAUAUUUGAAUAUUCUCUGAAUUCUUUUAUGUAUGAUUGGUUAUCUUUCCAAGUCUCUUCGAAUUAUCAGUUUUCUUUGGCCUACUAGAUUGAUCUUUCUUGCAAUGGGAGAAGUGCUUAGUUUUGGGUUCAAUCUUGUGGUGUCCUUUCCCGGUGACAGUAAGGGCAGCAAUGCACGUAUUGUAUUGUUGCCAUCGAGGAUAACAAGAUGGGGUUUUCUUCAUAUUGCAUGAGUCUAUCCCUCUACAUCAUGUCAUCUUGCUUAAGGCAUUACUCUGUUUUUAACUUAAUACUCUAGAUGCAUGCUGGAUAGCGGUCGAUAAGUGGAGUAAUAGUAGUAGAUGCAGGCAGGAGUCGGUCUACUUGUCUCGGACGUGAUGCCUAUAUACAUGAUCAUACCUAGAUAUUCUCAUAAUAUGCUCAAUUCUGUCAAUUGCUCAAUAGUAAUUUGUUCACCCACCGUAGAAUACUUAUGCUCUUGAGAGAAGCCACUAGUGAAACCUAUGGCCCCCCGGGUCUAUCUUUAUCAUAUUAAUCUCCUACUACUUAGUUAUUUCCUUUGCUAUUUACUUUGCCUUUAUUUUACUUUGCAUCUUUAUCAUAAAAAUACCAAAACUAUUAUCUUAUCAUAUUUAUCAGAUCUCACUCUCAUAAGUGGCCUUAUAGGGAUUGACAACCCCUAUUUGCGUUGGUUGCGAGGAUUUAUUUGUUUUGUGCAGGUACGAGGGACUCGCGCGUAGCCUCCUACUGGAUUGAUACCUUGAUUCUCAAAAACGGAGGGAAAUACUUACACUACUUUGCUGCAUCACCCCUUCCUCUUAGAGGAAAACCAACGCAGUGCUCAAGAGGUAGCAGUGUCUUGGUUUUAAUGGUUGUAGGAGGUGCCGUGCGGACAGCUGCUUGACCAUGACUGAACGGGAGGCGUGCGAGCGUCGUCUAGUAUGCGGGCUGACCGAGGCCGCAGUUUAAUUCACUUUUUAAAUAUAAAACACUCAUCACAAACGUUUUAGUUAGAACACCCGUAUGCAAACUGACAGCUUCCUCAGGAAACCAAGAGAAAAAUGUGCCGAGUAGGAUUUCUGCAGCUCUUGAUCGCAAACGUUUUAGAUAGAACACAUGUAUGCAAAGUGAGAGCAGCGCAAAAUUUGUGCAUCCCUUCAACGUAAACAGUUGUUUUGGAUGACCCAUGUGAAACCACGUACAGAAAAUUCGGUAAGAUUUGUCAAUCCUUGUAACACUGUGAUUUGUCAAAAUAUGAAGCUAAAAAUCACUAGCAUUAUCUAAUUUUUGCAACUAAAAUUCAGUAAUUAAGCAUAGAUUUCAUUCAUAGAUUAAACAAUCGUUCUUAAUUUAUACAAACAGUUCAACUCAAUAGCUGAACCAACCAAACUUUUCCCCCAAUUGUUGCCAACCACGUACUGAAAUAGCUAGUUCAACUAUAUAUACUAGCUAAUUUUAAGUACGUUGUACAGUUCCACCACAUGUAUAAUCAAAUGAACUGAACAAAAUGGCCCCUAAAUACUACUACUACUACUGCGGAGGGGCUUUGUACUACUUUCGGCUGCCUCUCCUCUGCCGAGCGCGCUCAGCAAGAGGCGGAGGAGGAGGAGCCUACCGACGAGCUAGGCAACCGCAAUGCGGUGCCUAUCGCUAAUGCAGCUUCAGCAACGCUCGCCUCGAACGCCCUCUGCCGCUCCAGACGAACCCUCUCAAAGCAGUGGUUCUCCGCAUAGAUCUCCUGAUUCCUCGCCUCUGAGACGGUGUGUGCCACUGCCACUGCGGCGGUAAGUCUCUUUGCGUGCUUAAUGAGGCGCUCCUCCUCCCGUAGGAACUCGGUGUAGCGCGCAAGGUCGCUAUCGCACGUGCGGGCAUCCACCUCCGCCUCCCGCCUUCGGGCGGCGAUGGCGGAGCGGGUGAUAACCCCGACGGUCGACGAUAGGCUGGCGGCCACGGCGGCCGAUGACGGGGUGGCGGCCACGACCACCACCUCCCACCUUCGGGCCGCGGUGGCGGAGCGGGUGAUGGCCAUAGUGGCCGGCAGUGGGGUGGCGGCCACGACGACCAUCUCCCGCCUUCGGGCCGCGGCGGAGCGGGCGAUGGCCCUGGCUUUCGAUGGUGGUGUGGCGGCAAUGGCGGCUGACAACAGCUGCCGACGGGCACCGGCGGCGGAGCGUGUGGUGGGUGUUCCGUGCACACCCAACAGGGACGCCACGCGCACUACACUACGCCGGGGACUGCACCGCCGCCACGGUGUAGCCUCCUAGCUGGAGCUGUCCUCUAAUGACGACGGAGUGGCUGAGCGGCGACCACGGACCGGUGCCAUUGGAGAAUGUGGGAGAAGCAAACGAGAUAAGCUACAGGGAUGGAGGGGAAAAUGUGACGCAGGACUCGCCGGCCAUGAGGGUUUUUAUAGCUAGCCGGUAAGCAUUGGGAUUUUGGGGGAUUUCACCGAGUCGGGCGGGAAGCUUGCGCGGGAACCUGCGAGGUUGCGCGGGAACGGGCUCACCGACGAUUCAUUGGCGCCACCAUUUGGCAAAAAGAACGCCCCCGCGCGCUGCGCAAGCUUGCGUCCUAAGUUGUCUGCGGCAGCAUGGUGACAAGACGUGCGGGAGGAGGACGAAAGGACACGUACACAUACGGUUAAUAAAAAAACGUUUGCAAUUUAAUUACCUACUAUACCACUGUCCUGGUUUAUAAGUAUGAUUUAACUAAUAAAAUACGAAUGCAUGUCGCCAAAGAUUAUAUAGUUGUAUUUAUAUUUGAACAUAGUUUCCAAUUAUAUAAUUUUUAAAACAUGCAUUAUCAUUUUGUUGGUUAAAUUUGAGGGCAAAGUAUGGCACGGAAUAUAAAGGAUACUAUAGACUAGACGGAGGUGGUACCACACGGCUGCUCUCUACGCAGCGACGCAACUGUCGACUGGCUUGUAGGCGACCAUUUGUUGCGUGUUCAACUGCUCCAUGCGUGUGGUUGCUUGUGGUUCAGGCGGCCGCGGCGCGCUCUGCUCGCGUCCCGCCGCCGCGCGCUCUGCUCAUGUCCUGCCGCCGCACGCUCUGCUUUCGCGUCCCUCUAGGUGCUCUGUCCUCGUCCCUCCACGUGCCCUGCCAGUGUUUUGGGCUGACGCACGAUCAUGCAUGUUCGUGUGCAAGCGGGUGCACCGGGCGCAGCGCGACGAUGCAGUUACCCGCUGCAAAAACUGCCAUGCGGACACGCCAAGAAUCCACGCCGCCCGGCCCCCUUUUAUUCAUGCGGCCAUUUACCUACAUCUCUCGUCUCACACGUCACAAUAAGCACACCCACGAGGACACAUACAGAGAGGACAUCCAGCGGUUCCAAUGGCGCUCCCCACGACUCCAAUGGCGCUCCCAGCGACCGAUGAUGACAACGGCGGGCAGUUCACCACGCAUCACGUAGUGGACACCCAUGUGAGAGGGAAGGCCCUCUCGGUGCUUUACAUGAAUGAUCCGGUCUCGGUGGAGAGCUCCAUCCAAACUAUGAAGCAGUUCCUUGUCGAGGACAAGUACCGAGUGGUCAGCUUCGACCUCGAGUACACCAUCGGUCGUGCCGGGCACGAUCAGAAGGUUGCCAUCGCCCAGUUGUGCAUGCGACAUGACGUCCUCGUCUACCACUUCCACCUUGCCACAAGGCCUUGCGAGCGUUUCUCCAGUUUUAUCAAGAGCUCCGACUACAGUUUCGCUACGGUGGACACCACCAACGAUCUAAAAGCGCUCAAGGUUCCGGACUUGAAAUGCCCGAAUCUAGUCAACAUCCAGCACCGCCAUAAGGUCUGGGGCACCGACAAAAGCUAACUGAACUCCCUGGUUGACCUCACCUCGGCGAUCAUCGACCCCUACUACGCGAAGAUGAAGCAAGAGAGCAAUAAAGACAAGAACGCCUGGCACAGUGUGUGGCAUAAGAGACUGGAUGAACAACAUGUCAACUACGCAGCCACGCGUACACAAGCUACAAGAUGUACAAAUGGAUCAUUGACAUGAGGAACUGUCUUCUUCCUGACCCAGACGAGGGAUCGAGCCACAUAGCAGUGGCGGGAGCGUCACAAGAAGUAGAUGACUAGACGAUCGUUUCUCCUACUUUAGAAUGCAUGCAAUUGUUUAUUGAGGUGUGUGUGAAUGAUUUGUAUAGUCACUUAUGUAAUUGGAUGUUUAUUUCAGUUAUAUAUACACGCACACACACACAUGUUAUUCUACUGUAGACAUAGCAAUUCACACGGCUUAUUAGCAGCAAUCGUCUGUUUUAUUAUUGGUCUUCGCACACAUUUCAGAUUACAGACCUGUUUACCGCGUAUCACACACAUCUUGUUUAGUUGAAUCAUUUCCAUUGUGUUGCCUAAUCACACACAGUUCAUCCCAGUGAACCGUAUGCUAUAUAUCGCACAUGCCUUCAUCUGGCUGCCCGUUUCUUUUGUGCCUCCUCAUCACAAAUAGUUCAUUGAGCUGAACCGUAUGCCCUGCAUCGCACACGAAACUAAAUUCUGAACCGUGUUUGAUGCAUCUGUCAUCGCAAACGCUUUGCACCUUUUUUGACGGGUUUUUUACACCACUGUUUGCGAUUAUGGCAUCGCACAUAGUUUCGUUGAAGGGUCUCUGAUUCGACUGUCACGUUUGGACCAUCCUGCAGUAGUGCACGUGCAUUGGACUAAGCUGAAAUCUACAAACAUUUAAUACAAGGGAGAAGACAAGGUAAUAUGGGCUCUUGGUUAAAUCAACAAUAAUGCAUAUGAGAGCCACUCAACAUUUUCAUCAUGGUCUUCUCCUCUCGACCCCCAAAGAAUAAGAAAAGAAAUAAAACUAUUUACACGAGAAAGCUCCCAACAAGCAAAAGAAGAACAAGAAAUCUUUUUGUGUUUUCUUUUAGUUACUACUACUACAAGUAUGGAAAGUAAACUAGCUAAAAGCUAAAACUAAUUUUUUUGUUUUUCUUAAGGUUUUUCAAACACACAAGAAGAAGGCUUAAAAAGGAAAAUAAACUAGCAUGGAUAUACGAUGAAAAAGUAUGAGCACCGACAACUGGCAUGAGUGUGGGAACAUGAAUGUAAUGUUGGUGAGAAAUACGUACUCCCCCAAGCUUAGGCUUUUGGCAUAAGUUGGUCUAUGGCCACUACUGGCCUGGCGGAUAUCCAAAGUCGUACCUGAGUUUGUACCGAGAUGCAGCAGCUACUGCCUGAAGAGCUGCAGCUUGGAGGCGAGCUACCUCCGUCCUCCUCUCAUACUCGUUCGCCUCCUCCCUGGUUAUAACAUAUAUCCUUUUUUCCUGAAAGUUAAAGAAAGUAGGAGUAGGGAGGGCAACAUGGACAGUGCGUUGUCUGUCAAAGAUUAGUCGGUACUGGAGGAACUGUUCGUUCCUCUCAAGAAACUAAUGGCGAACCAUGGCAUUAUAAUCUAGAUAAGCAGGAGGCAACUCCAUAUCAUUUCCAUGUAUGGGUACACCAAGAUAAUUAGCUACACGAGUUGCAUAAAUUCCACCAAACAAAUCUCCACUUGUACCAUUAAGAUGCAACCUUCGUGCAACAAUGGCCCCUAAGUUAUAUUGUUUAUCACCUAAUACCGCACUCUUGAGGACACUAAGAUCUGGAACGCACAUGUGACAAGCCUCAUCUUUACCGUUAAUGCAUCUACCUAUACAGAGAGCAAAAUAAUGUAUGGAAGGGAAAUGAAAUGCUCCCUAUGGUAGCUUGUGUGAUUUCCCUAGAUUCCCCCAUAGUGAUACUAGCAAGAAAGUCUUUAAAUUCAGCUUUGCGAGGUUCACUAACAUUGCCCCACUCCGGGAGUUUACAAGCAGUAUUAAAAUCUUUUAGGUCCAUGGUAUAUGAUUUAUCAUAAAGAUCAAAUAAAACAGUGUGAGAAUUGUGCGAGGAUGUAAAUUUAAACCUCCUCACAAAGGAAUCAGUUAGGUAGUGGUACAGUAGGCACUUAUCUGACAUGAAGUCCUCAAGAUCAGCAUUACGCACAUACGCGUCAAAUUCAUCCUUGAUGCCUGCCUGGACCAUAAACUCCUCUGACGGCUAUUCACAAGGCCGCACUUGAGCUUCCCUCGGUGGUUCAUCGUCUGGCUUACGUGAGCCUUGGUCCUUGCUUCCUUGAGGAACCACCUUGGUACAUUUUCCUAUGCAUUUUUCUUUCUCUGAAAUUUUAGUGACUCAAAAUAAAAGUGAACCAAACUCAACAAGAUUGAUAGCAACUACUCCCACAAGUGCCUAGAGGCUAUAUCAUGCAUUAAAACUACUUUGGACCAUAUAAAUUUGACAUGCAAGCUCAAGAAUAGGGUCACCUUAGCAGCAAAAAAUUGCAAUAAAUAAAGCACUAGGACAAAAACUAAUUGGACCAUUGGAGGAGUCACAUACCGAAGAACAAUCUCUCCAAACAGUUUUGUGAAUGGAGCUUUGAGCAAAAAAAUGGAAAAUGGCAGCAAGAUGAGCUAGAACACGGGUUUGAGGUAUGGGAGGAUUUUUUCUAGAGAAAGACGAAGUGAGUGGGUGCUGGAAUAAGUGGAGGGGGUCCACGUGGGGCCCACGAGGCAGGGGGCAUACCCUGUGCCCUCGUGGACAAAUGGUGGGGCCCCCUGGCGUGUUCUCGGUGCCAAAUUUUUUUAAAUAUUCUACAAAAAAAUCAUAUUUCAUUUUCAGGACGUUUUGAGAAGUUUUAUUUUAGGGGUAUUUUUAUUGCAAGGAUAAUUCAGAAAAUAGACAUAAAAUACUAUUUUUGCUUUAUUUAAUCUAAAUAACAUAAAGUAAAAGGAGGGUACAAAGAGUUGUGCUUUCUAACUUCAUCCAUCUCGUGCUCAUCAAAAGGAAUCCACUAACAAGGUUGAUCAAGUCUUGUUAACAAACUCUUUUCGAAUCGCAUGAAACCGGAGAAUUUUCGAAUAACACUAGGUUAUCUCAACGAGGAUAUGCAUGUCCCCAACAAUAAGAAUAUCAUAUUCUUCUUGACAGUAGGAAGAGGAAAUUCAAAACCUCCAAUAGUAAUCGUUGAAAAUUUUCCAAUAGAAUUGAUACUGUGGACUUGAGGUUGUUUCCUCGGAAAGUGUACUGUAUGCUCAUUACCAUUAACAUGAAAAGUGACAUUGCCUUUGUUGCAAUCAAUAACAGCCCCUGCAGUAUUCAAAAAGGGUCUACCAAGGAUAAUCGACAUACUAUCGUCCUCAGGAAUAUCAAGAAUAACAAAGUCCGUUAAAAUACUAACGUUUGCAAUCACAACAGGCACAUCUUCACAGAUACCGAUAGGUAUAGCAGUUGAUUUAUCGGCCAUUUGCAAAUAUAUUUCAAUAGGUGUCAACUUAUUCAAAUCAAGUCUACGAUAUAAAGAGAGAGGCAUAACACUAACACCAGCUCCAAGAUCACAUAAAGCAGUUUUAACAUAGUUUCUUUUAAUUGAGCAUGGUAUAGUUGGUACUCUGGGAUCUCCUAGUUUCUUAGGUAUUCCACCUUUAAAAGUAUAAUUGGCAAGCAUGGUGGAAAUUUCAGCUUCUGGUAUCUUUCUUUUAUUUGUAACAAUAUCUUUCAUAUACUUAGCAUAAGGAUUCAUUUUAAGCAUAUCAAUCAAACGCAUACGCAGAAAGAUAGGUCUAAUCAUUUCAGCAAAACGCUCAAAAUAUUCAUCAUCCUUUUUCUUGGAUGGGUUAGGAGGAAAAGGCGUGGGUUUCUGAACCCAUGGCUCUCUUUCUUUACCGUGCUUCCUAGCAACGAAGUCUCUCUUAUCAUAAUGUUGAUUCUUUGAUUGUGGAUUAUCAAGAUCAACAGCAGGUUCAAUCUCUACAUCAUUGUUAUUGCUAGGUUGAGCAUCAACAUUAACAUCAUCAUUAUCACUAGGUUCAUGUUCAUUACCAGGUUGUGUUUCAGCAUCAGAAAUAUAAAUAUCAUUGGGAUUCUCAGGUGUGUCAACAACAGGUUCACUAGAAGCAUGCAAAGUCCUAUCAUUUUUCUUUUUCUUCUUCUUAAAAGGGCUAGGUGUAUCAAUAUUAGUUCUCUGAGAAUCUUGCUCAACUCUCUUAGGGUGUCCCUCGGGAUACAAAGGUUCCUGAGUCAUUUUACCCCCUCUAGUCAUAACUCUAACUGCAUUAUCAUUUUUCUUAUUAUUUAAUUCAUUAAGCAAAUCAUCUUGUGCUUUAAGCACUUGUUCUACCCGAGUGGUAACCAUAGAAGCAUGUUUACUAAUAAGUUUAAGGUCACCUUUAACUCUAGACAUAUAAUCACUCAAGUGUUCAACCAUAUAAGCAUUAUGUUUCAAUUGUCUACCAACAUAAGCAUUGAAGUUUUCUUGUUUAACAAUAAAAUUAUCAAAUUCAUCCAAGCAUUGGCUAGCAGACUUAUUACGAGGAGUAUCACCUUCAUCAAAUCUAUAGAGAGAAUUUACCUUUACUACCUGUGUCGGGUUAUUAAGACCAUGUAUUUCUUCAAUAGGUGGGAAAUUCUUAACAUCUUCAUCUUUAAUACCCUUUUCUUUCAUAGAUUUCUUUGCCUCUUGCAUAUCUUCAGGACUGAGAAAUAGAAUACUCCUUUUUUUCGGAGUUGGCUUAGGAGUUGGUUUAGGAAGUGUCCAAUCAUUAUCAUUACUCAAUAUAUUAUUUAAUAGCAAUUCAACUUGCUCAACAAUUCUUUCCCUGAAAACAUAACCUGCACAACUCUCCACGUGGUCUUUGGAAGCAUCAUUUAGUCCAUUAUAAAAGAUAUCAAGUAUUUCAUUUUUCUUGAGAGGAUGAUCAGGCAAAACAUUAAGUAAUCGGAGAAGCCUCCCCCAAGCUUGUGGGAGACUCUCUUCUUCAAUUUGCAAAAAAUUAUAUAUUUCCCUUAAUGCAGCUUGUUUCUUAUGAGCGGGGAAAUAUUUAGUAGAGAAGUAAUAAAUCAUAUCCUGGGGACUACGCACACAACCAUGAUCAAGAGAAUUAAACCAUGUUUUAGCAUCACCCUUUAAUGAGAACGGAAAUAACUUAAGGAUAUAGUAGUAACGAAUUUUUUCCUCAUGAGUGAAUUGGGUGUCUAUAUCAUUCAAUUUAGUAAGGUGUGCCACAACAGUUUCAGAUUCAUAGCCAUAAAAAAGAUCAGAUUCAACCAAAGUAAUUAACUCAGGAUCAACAGAGAAAUCAUAAUCCUUAUCAGAAAUACAGAUCGGUGAAGUAGUAAAAGCAGGGUCAUAUUUCAUUAUAGCAUUCAAAGACUUCUCUUUCAGCGUAGCUAACAGUUUCUUAAGAUCAUAUCUAUCUUUGCAAGCAAAAAGGUCUCUAGCAGUUUCUUCAUCCAUAACAUAACCCUCAGGCACAUCAGGCAAUUCAUAAUCUUCAUCAUCACUUUCAAUAUUAUCUGUUUCAAUAAUCUCAUUCUCUCUAACCCUAGCAAGUUGUUCAUCAAGAAAUUCACCUAACGACACAAUAUUAUCAAGCAUAAAAGUAGUUUCAUCAUAAGCAUCAUGCAUAGCAUAAGUGGCAUCAUCAAUAACACACGACAUAUCACAAUCAAUAACAGAUGUAGGUGUCGCAAAUUUACUCAUAACAGAAGGUGAAUCAAGUGCAGAGCUAGAUGGCAGUUCCUUACAUCCCCUCGUAGUUGAGGGAAAAAUCUUGGUUCUUUCAUCUUUCAAGUUCCUCAUAGUGAUCAACAUAUAUAAAUCCCAAGUGACUCAAAGAAUAGAGCUAUGCUCCCCGACAACGGCACCAGGAAAUAGUCUUGAUAACCCACAAGUAUAGGGGAUUGCAACAAUUUUCAAGGGUAGAGUAUUCAACCCAAAUUUAUCGAUUCGACACAAGGGGAGCCAAAGAAUAUUCUCAAGUAUUAGCAGUUGAGUUGUCAGUUCAACCACACCUGAAAGACUUAAUAUCUGCAGCAAAGUAUUUAGUAGAAAAGUAGCAUGGAAGUAUCGGUAACGGUGGCAAAAGUAACAGUAGUAGUUUUUGUAGCAAUUGUAACAGUGGCAAUGGAAAACUGACUAAGCAAAGAUCAAUAUGUGAAAAGCUCGUAGGCAAUGGAUCAAUGAUGGAUAAUCAUGUCGGAUGCGAUUCCUCAUGAAACAAUUAUAACAUAGGGUGACACAUAACUAGCUCCCGUUCAUCAAUGUAAUGUAGGCAUGUAUUCCGAAUAUAGUCAUACGUGCUUAUGGAAAAGAACUUGCAUGACAUCUUUUGUCCUACCCUCCCGUGGUAGCGGGGUCCUAUUGGAAACUAAGGGAUAUUAAGGCCUCCUUUUAAUAGAGUACCGGACCAAAGCAUUAACACUUAGUGAAUACAUGAACUCCUCAAACUACGGUCAUCACCGGAAGUGGUCCUGAUUAUUGUCACUUUGGGGUUGCCGGAUCAUAACACAUAGUAGGUGACUAUUGACUUGCAAGAUAGGAUCAAGAACUCACAUAUAUUCAUGAAAACAUAAUAUGUUCAGAUCUGAAAUCAUGGCACUCAGUCCCUAGUGACAAGCAUUAAGCAUAGCAAAGUCAUAACAACAUCAAUCUUAGAUCAUAAUGGAUACUAGGGAUCAAACCCUAACAAAACUAACUCGAUUACAUGGUAAAUAUCAUCCAACCCAUCACCGUCCAGCAAGCCUACUAUGAGAUUACUCACGCACGGCGGCGAGCAUCGUGAAAUUGGUGAUGGAGGAUGGUUGAUGAUGACGAUGGCGACGGAUUCCCCUCUCCAGGCCCCUAACGGACUCCAGACCAGCCCUCCCGAGGAAGAUUAGGGCUUGGCGGCGGCUCCGUAUCGUAAAACGCAAUGAAUCCUUCUCCCUGAUUUUUUCUCCCCGAAAGUGAAUAUAUGGAGCUGGGGUUGAGGUUGGUGGAGUCCCAGGGGGCCCAUGAGGCAGGGGGCGCGCCCUGCACCCUCGUGGACAAGGUGUGGGCCCCAUGAUGCUGAUUCUUUCACCAGUAUUUUUCAUUAAUUCCAAAACGUGUCUCCGUGGAUUUUUAGGUCAUUCUGAGAACUUUUAUUUCUGCACAAAAAUAACACCAAGCCGUUCUGCUGAAAACAGCGUCAGUCCGGGUUAGUUCCAUUCAAAGCAUGCAAGUUAGAGUCCAAAACAAGGGAAAAAGUGUUUGGAAAAGUAGAUACGUUGAAGACGUAUCAAUGCACAUCAUGAUAAGCCUUGCAAGCAAUGUGACUAAUGAGUUAGUUAUGGGAUGAUACAUUACAGAACGAGUAAAGAGACUUGCUGGUAACGAGAUUGAACUAGGUAUGAGGAUACCGACGAUCGAAUCUCGGGCAAGUAACAUACCGAUGACAAAGAGAAUGCUGUAUGUUGUCAUUGCAGUUUGACCGAUAAAGAUCUUUGUAGAAUAUGUAGGAACCAAUAUGAGCAUCCAGGUUCCACUGUUGGUUAUUGAUCGGAGAUGUGUCUCGGUCAUGUCUACAUAGUUCUCGAACUCGUAGGGUCCACACGCUUAACAUUCGAUGACGAUUUGUAUUGUGAGUUAUGUGUUUUGAUGACCGAAGAUUGUUCAGAGUCCCGGAUAAGAUCAUGGACAUGACAAGGAGUCUCGAAAUGGUCGAGAGGUAAAGAUCGAUAUAUUGUACGAUGGUAUUCGGACACCGGAAUGGUUUCAGAGUGUUUCAGAUAUUUAUCGGAGUACCGGGGGGUUACUGGUGUUGGGGAACGUAGUAAUUUCAAAAAAUUUCCUACGCACACGCAAGAUCAUGGUGAUGCAUAGCAACGAGAGGGGAGAGUGUUGUCUAUGUACCCUCGUAGACCGAAGCGGAAGCGUUGACGCAACGUAGAGGAAGUAGUCGUAUGUCUUCCCGGUUCAACCGAUCCAAGCAUCGUUACUCCGGCACCUCUGAGUUCUUGGCACACGUUCAGCUCGAUGACGCUCCCCGGGCUCCGAUCCAGCAAAGCUUCGGGGAAGAGUUCUGUCAACACGACGGCGUGGUGACGAUCUUGAUGUUCAACCGUCGCAGGGCUUCGCCUAAGCACCGCUACAAUAUGACCAAGGUGUCAUAUCGUGGAGGGGGGCACCACACACGGCUAAGGAACGAUCGCGAAGAUCAACUUGUGUGUCUAUGGGGUGCCCCCUGCCCCCGUAUAUAAAGGAGUGAAGGAGGGGAGGGCCGUCCCUCUCUAUGGCGCGCCCUAGGGGAGUCCUACUCCCACCGGGAGUAGGAUUCCCCCUUUCCUAGUCCAACUAGGAGUCCUUCCAUGUAGUAGGAGUAGGAGACAAGGAAGGGGAAGGGAGAAGGGAAGGAAGGAGGGGGCGUAGCCCCUCCCCCUAGUCCAAUUCGGACUAGGCCUUGGGGGGGGGGGCACGGCCUGCCCUAGGCAGCCCCUCUCUCUUUCCCGUAUGGCCCAAUAAGGCCCAAUACUUCCCCCCCGUAUUCCCGUAACUCCCCGGUACUCCGAAAAAUACCCGAACCACUCGGAACCUUUCCAAUGUCCGAAUAUAGUCGUCCAAUAUAUUGAUCUUUACGCCUUGACCAUUUCGAGACUCCUCGUCAUGUCCCCGAUCUCAUCCGGGACUCCGAACUCCUUCGGUACAUCAAAACUCAUAAACUCAUUAUAUAGCUGUCAUCGAAACCUUAAGCGUGCGGACCCUACGGUUCGAGAACAAUGUAGACAUGACCGAGACACGUCUCCGGUCAAUAACCAAUAGCGGGACCUGGAUGCCCAUAUUGGCUCCUACAUAUUCUACGAAGAUCUUUAUCGGUCAGACCGCAUAACAACAUAUGUUGUUCCCUUUUUCAUCGGUAUGUUACUUGCCCGAGAUUCGAUCGUCGGUAUCUCAAUACCUAGUUCAAUCUCGUUACCGGCAAGUCUCUUUACUUGUUCCGUAAUACAUCAUCUCACAACUAACUCAUUAGUUGCAAUGCUUGCAAGGCUUAUGUGAUGUGCAUUACCGAGAGGGCCCAGAAAUACCUCUCCGACAAUUGGAGUGACAAAUCCUAAUCUCGAAAUACGCCAACCCAACAUGUACCUUUGGAGACACCUGUAGAGCACCUUUAUAAUCACCCAGUUACGUUGUGACGUUUGGUAGCACACAAAGUGUUCCUCCGGCAAACGGGAGUUGCAUAAUCUCAUAGUCAUAGGAACAUGUAUAAGUCAUGAAGAAAGCAAUAGCAACAUACUAAAUGAUCGGGUGCUAAGCUAAUGGAAUGGGUCAUGUCAAUCAGAUCAUUCACCUAAUGAUGUGAUCCCGUUAAUCAAAUAACAACUCUUUUGUUUAUGGUUAGGAAACAUAACCAUCUUCGAUUAACGAGCUAGUCAAGUAGAGGCAUACUAGUGACACUCUGUUUGUCUAUUUAUUCACACAUGUAUUAUGUUUCCGGUUAAUACAAUUCUAGCAUGAAUAAUAAACAUUUAUCAUGAUAUAAGGAAAUAAAUAAUAACUUUAUUAUUGCCUCAAGGGCAUAUUUCCUUCAGUCUCCCACUUGCACUAGAGUCAAUAAUCUAGUUCACAUCAUCAUGUGAUUUAACACUAAUAGUUCACAUCUUUAUGUGAUUAGUUCACAUCUUCAUGAUAUCAACACCCAAAGGGUUUACUAGAUUCAGUAAUCUAGUUCACAUCGCUAUGUGAUUAACACCCAAAGAGUACUAAGGUGUGAUCAUGUUUUGCUUGUGAGAGAAGUUUAGUCAACGGGUCUGCCACAUUCAGAUCCGUAUGUAUUUUGCAAUUUUCUAUGUCAACAAUGCUCUGUACAGAGCUACUCUAGCUAAUUGCUCCCACUUUCAAUAUGUAUCCAGAUUGAGACUUAGAGUCAUCUGGAUUAGUGUCAAAACUUGCAUCGACGUAACCCUUUACGACGAACCUUUUGUCACCUCCAUAAUCGAGAAACAUAUCCUUAUUCCACUAAGGAUAAUUUUGACCGCUGUCAAGUGAUCUACUCCUAGAUCACUAUUGUACUACCUUGCCAAAAUCAGUGUAGGGUAUACAACAGAUCUGGUACAUAGCAUGGCAUACUUUAUAGAACCUAUGGCUGAGGCAUAGGGAAUGACUUUCAUUCUCUUUAUAUCUUCUGUCGUGGUCGGGUUUUGAGUCUUACUCAAUUUCACACCUUGUAACACAGACAAGAACUCUUUCUUUGACUGUUCUAUUUUGAACUACUUCAAAAUCUUGUCAAGGUAUGUACUCAUUGAAAAAAACUUAUCAAGCAUCUUGAUCUAUCUCUAUAGAUCUUGAUGUUCAAUAUGUCAGCAGCUUCACCGAGGUCUUUCUUUGGAAAAUUCCUUUCAAACACUCCUUUAUGCUUUGCAGAAUAAUUCUACAUUAUUUCCGAUCAACAAUAUGUCAUUCACAUAUACUUAUCAGAAAUGUUGUAGUGCUCCCACUCACUUUCUUGUAAAUACAGGCUUCAUCGCAAGUCUGUAUAUAACUAUAUGCUUUGAUCAACUUAUCAAAGCGUAUAUUCCAACUCCGAGAUGCUUGCACCAGUCCAUAGAUGGAUCGCUGGAGCUUGCAUAUUUUGUUAGCACCUUUAGGAUCGAGAAAACCUUCUGGUUGUAUCAUAUACAACUCUUCUUUAAUAAAUCUAUUAAGGAAUGCAGUUUUGUUUAUCCAUUUGCCAGAUUUCAUAAAGUGCGGCAAUUGCUAACAUGAUUCAGACAGAUUUAAGCAUAGAUACGAGUGAGAAACUCUCAUCAUAGUCAACACCUUGAACUUGUCGAAAACCUUUUGCGACAAUUCUAGCUUUGUAGAUAGUAACACUACUAUCAGCAUCCGUCUUCCUCUUGAAGAUCCAUUUAUUCUCAAUUGCUUGCCGAUCAUCGGGCAAGUCAACCAAAGUCCAUACUUUGUUCUCAUACAUGGAUCCCAUCUCAGAUUUCAUGGCCUGAAGCCAUUUUGCAGAAUCUGGCGUCACCAUCACUUCUUCAUAGUUCGUAGGUUCGUCAUGGUCAAGUAGCAUGACCUCCAGAAUAGGAUUACCGUACCACUCUGGUGCGGAUCUCACUCUGGUUUACCUACGAGAUUCGGUAGUAACUUGAUCUGAAGUUACAUGAUCAUCAUCAUUAGCUUCCUCACUAAUUGGUGUAGUAGUCACAGGAACAGAUUUCUGUGAUGAACUACUUUCCAAUAAGGAAGAAGGUACAAUUACCUUAUCAAGUUCUACUUUCCUCCCACUCACUUCUUUCGAGACAACCUCCUUCUCUAGAAAUGAUCCAUUCUUAGCAACGAAUGUCUUGCCUUUGGAUCCGUGAUAGAAGGUGUACCCAACAGUAACUUUUUGGGUAUCCUAUGAAGACACACUAUUCUGAUUUGGGUUUGAGUUUAUCAGGAUGGAACUUUUUCACAUAAGCAUUGCAACCCCAAACUUUAAGAAACGACAACUUUGGUUUCUUGCCAAACCACAGUUCAUACGGUGUCGUCUCAACAGAUUUAGAUGGUGCCCUUUUAACGUGAAUGCAGCUGUCUUUAAUGCAUAACCCCAAAAUGAUAGUGGUAGAUCGGUAAGAGACAUCAUAGAUUGCACUAUAUCCAAUAAAGUACGGUUAUGACGUUCGGACACACCAUUAUGCUGUGGUGUUCCAUGUGGCAUGAGUUUGUGAAACUAUUCCACAUUGUUUUAAUUGAAGACCAAACUCGUAAAUCAAAUAUUUGUCUCCGCGAUCAGAUCGUAGAAACUUUAUUUUCUUGUCAUGAUGAUUUUCCACUUCACUCUGAAAUUCUUUGAACUUUUCAAAUGUUUCAGACUUAUGUUUCAUCAAGUAGAUAUACCCAUAUCUGCUCAAAUCAUCUGUGAAGUUCAGAAAAUAACGAUACUUGUCGUGAGCCUUAACACUCAUCGGACCGCAUACAUCAGUAUGUAUUAUUUCCAAUAAGUCAGUUGCUCGCUCCGGAGAACGGAGUCUUAGUCAUCUUGCCCAUGAGGCAUGGUUUGCAAGCAUCAAGUGAUUCAUAAUCAAGUGAUUCCAAAAUCCCAUCAGCAUGGAGUUUCUUCAUGCGCUUUACACCAAUAUGACCUAAACGGCAGUGCUACAAAUAAGUUGCACUAUCAUUAUUAACUUUGCAUCUUUUGGUUUCAAUAUUAUGAUUAUGUGUAUCACUACGAUCGAGAUCCAACGAACUAUUUUCAUUGGGUGUGUAACCAUAUAAGGUUUUAUUCAUGUAAACAGAACAACAAUUUAUUCUCUUACUUAAAUGAAUAACCGUAUUACAAUAAACAUGAUCAAAUCAUAUUCAUGCUUAACGCAAACACCAAAUAACACUUAUUCAGGUUCAACACUAAUCCCGAAAGUAUAGGGAGUGUGCGAUGAUGAUCAUAUCAAUCUUGGAACCACUUCCAACACACAUCGUCACUUCACCCUUAACUAGUCUCUGUUUAUUCUGCAACUCCCGUUUCGAGUUACUAAUCUUAGCAACUGAACUAGUAUCAAAUACUGAGGGGUUGCUAUAAACACUAGUAAAGUACACAUCAAUAACAUGUAUAUCAAAUAUACUUAUGUUCACAUUGCCAUCCUUCUUAUCUGCCAAUCACUUGGGGUAGUUCCGCUUCCAGUGACCAGUCCCUUUGCAGUAGAAACACUUAGUCUCAGGCUUAGGACCAGACUUGGGCUUCUUCACUUGAGCAGCAACUUGCUUGCUGUUCUUCUUGAAGUUCCCCUUCUUCCCUCUGCCCUUUUCUUGAAACUAGUGGUCUUGUCUACCAUCAACACUUGAUGUUUUUCUUGAUUUCUACCUUCGUCAAUUUCCGCAUUACGAAGAGCUUGGGAAUCGUUUCCGUUAUCCCUUGCAUAUCAUAGUUCAUCACGAAGUUCUACUAACAUGGCGAUGGUGACUAGAGAAUUCUGUCAAUCACUAUCUUAUCUGGAAGAUUAACUCCCACUUGAUUCAAGCGAUUGUAGUACUCAGACAAUCUGGGCACAUGCUCACUAGUUGAGUGAUUCUCCUCCAUCUUUUAGCUAUAGAACUUGUUGGAGACUUCAUAUCUCUCAACUCGGGUAUUUGCUUGAAAUAUUAACUUCAACUCCUGGAACAUCUCAUAUGCUCCAUGACAUUCAAAAACGUCUUUGAAGUCCCGAUUCUAAGCCAUUAAGCAUGAUGCACUAAACUAUCAAGUAGUCAUCAUAUUGAGCUAGCCAAACGUUCAAAACGUCUGCAUCUGCUCCUGCAAUAGGUCCGUCACCUAGCGGUGCAUCAAGGAAAUAAUUCUUCUGUGCAGCAAUGAGGAUAAACCUCAGAUCACGGAUCCAAUCCGCAUCAUUGCUACUAACAUCUUUCAACACAAUUUUCUCUAGGAACAUAUCAAAAUAAACACAUGGAAGCAACAACGCGAGCUAUUGAUCUACAACAUAAUUUGCAAAAUACUACCAGGACUAAGUUCAUGAUAAAUUUAAGUUCAAUUAAUCAUAUUACUUAAGAACUCCCGCUUAGAUAGACAUCCCUCUAAUCCUCUAAGUGAUUACGUGAUCCAAAUCAACUAAACCAUGUCCGAUCAUCACGUGAGAUGGAGUAGUUUCAUUGGUGAACAUCACUAUGUUGAUCAUAUCUACUAUAUGAUUCACGCUCGACCUUUCGGUCUUCGUGUUCCGAGGCCAUAUCUGUAUAUGCUUGGCUCGUCAAGUAUAACCUGAGUAUUCCGCGUGUGCAACUGUUUUGCACCCGUUGUAUUUGAACGUAGAGCCUAUCACACCCGAUCAUCACGUGGUGUCUCAGCACGAAGAACUUUCGCAACGGUGCAUACUCAGGGAGAACACUUCUUGAUAAUUAGUGAGAGAUCAUCUUAUAAUGCUACUGUCAAUCAAAGCAAGAUAAGAUGCAUAAAAGAUAAACAUCACAUGCAAUCAAUAUAAGUGAUAUGAUAUGGCCAUCAUCAUCUUGUGCUUGUGAUCUCCAUCUCCGAAGCACCAUCGUGAUCACCAUCGUUACCGGCGCGACACCUUGAUCUCCAUCGUAGCAUCGUUGUCGUCUCGCCAAUCUUAUGCUUCCACGACUAUCGCUACCGCUUAGUGAUAAAGCAAAGCAUUACAGCGCGAUUGCAUUGCAUACAAUAAAGCGACAACCAUAUGGCUCCUGCCAGUUGCCGAUAACUUGGUUACAAAACAUGAUCAUCUCAUAAAAUAAAAUUUAGCAUCAUGUCUUAACCAUAUCACAUCACAAUAUGCCCUGCAAAAACAAGUUAGACGUCCUCUACUUUGUUGUUGCAAGUUUUACGUGGCUGCUACGGGCUUAAGCAAGAACCAAUCUUACCUACGCAUCAAAACCACAACGAUAGUUUGUCAAGUUGGUGCUGUUUUAACCUUCGCAAGGACCAGGCAUAGCCACACUCGGUUCAACUAAAGUUGGAGAAACUCUCACCCACUAGCCACCUUUGUGCAAAGCACAUCGGGAGAACCGGUCUCGCGUAAGCGUACGCGUAAUGUCGGUCCGGGCCGCUUCGUCCAACAAUACCGCCAAACCAAAGUAUGACAUGCUGGUAAGAAGUAUGACUUAUAUCGCCCACAACUCACUUGUGUUCUACUCGUGCAUAUAACAUAAACAUAUAAAACCUAGGCUCGGAUGCCACUGUUGGGGAACGUAGUAAUUUCAAAAAAUUUCCUACGCACAUGCAAGAUCAUGGUGAUGCAUAGCAAUGAGAGGGGAGAGUGUUGUCUACGUACCCUCGUAGACCGAAGCGGAAGCGUUGACGCAACAUAGAGGAAGUAGUCGUACGUCUUCCCGGUUCAACCGAUCCAAGCACCGUUACUCCGGCACCUCCGAGUUCUUGGCACACGUUCAGCUCGAUGACGCUCUCCGGGCUCCGAUCCAGCAAAGCUUCGGGGAAGAGUUCCGUCAGCACGACGGCGUGGUGACGAUCUUGAUGUUCAACCGUCGCAGGGCUUCGCCUAAGCACCGCUACAAUAUGACCGAGGUGUAAUAUCGUGGAGGGGGGCACCACACACGGCUAAGGAACGAUCACGAAGAUCAACUUGUGUGUCUAUGGGGUGCCCCUGCCCCCGUAUAUAAAGGAGUGGAGGAGGGGAGGGCCGGCCCUCUCUAUGGCGCGCCCUAGGGGAGUCCUACUCCCACCGGGAGUAGGAUUCCCCCUUUCCUAGUCCAACUAGGAGUCCUUCCAUGUAGUAGGAGUAGGAGACAAGGAAGGGGAAGGGAGAAGGGAAGGAAGGAGGGGGCGCAGCCCCUCCCCCUAGUCCAAUUCGGACUAGGCCUUGGGGGGGCGCAAGGCCUACCCUAGGCAGCCCCUCUCUCUUUCCCGUAUGGCCCAAUAAGGCCCAAUACUUCUCCCCCAUAUUCCCGUAACUCCCCGGUACUCCAAAAAAUACCCGAACCACUCGGAACCUUUCCGAUGUCCGAAUAUAGUCGUCCAAUAUAUCGAUCUUUAUGUCUCGACCAUUUCGAGACUCCUCGUCAUGUCCCCGAUCUCAUCCGGGACUCCGAACUCCUUCGGUACAUCAAAACUCAUAAACUCAUUAUAUAACUAUCAUCGAAACCUUAAGUGUGCGGACCCUACGGUUCGAGAACAAUGUAGACAUGACCGAGACACGUCUCCGGUCAAUAACCAAUAGCGGGACCUGGAUGCCCAUAUUGGCUCCUACAUAUUCUAUGAAGAUCUUUAUCGGUCAGACCGCAUAACAACAUACGUUGUUCCCUUUGUCAUCGGUAUGUUACUUGCCCGAGAUUCGAUCGUCGGUAUCUCAAUACCUAGUUCAAUCUCGUUACCGGCAAGUCUCUUUACUCGUUCCGUAAUACAUCAUCUCACAACUAACUCAUUAGUUGCAAUGCUUGCAAGGCUUAUGUGAUGUGCAUUACCGAGAGGGCCCAGAGAUACCUCUCCGACAAUCGGAGUGACAAAUCCUAAUCUCGAAAUACGUCAACCCAACAUGUACCUUUGGAGACACCUGUAGAGCACCUUUAUAAUCACCCGGUUACGUUCUGACAUUUGGUAGCACACAAAGUGUUCCUCCGGCAAACGGGAGUUGCAUAAUCUCAUAGUCAUAGGAACAUGUAUAAGUCAUGAAGAAAGCAAUAGCAACAUACUAAACGAUUGGGUGCUAAGCUAAUGGAAUGGGUCAUGUCAAUCAGAUCAUUCACCUAAUGAUGUGAUCCCGUUAAUCAAAUAACAACUCUUUUGUUUAUGGUUAGGAAACAUAACCAUCUUCGAUUAACGAGCUAGUCAAGUAGAGGCAUACUAGUGACACUCUGUUUGUCUAUGUAUUCACACAUGUAUUAUGUUUCCGGUUAAUACAAUUCUAGCAUGAAUGAUAAACAUUUAUCAUGAUAUAAGGAAAUAAAUAAUAACUUUAUUAUUGCCUCUAGGGCAUAUUUCCUUCAACUGGAACCCCCCGGGGAAAGUAAUGGGCCAACAUGGGCCAUAGGGGAGAGAUAGGGCAGCCCACAAGGGGUGGAACCCCCCCCCCCCAUGGGAGUCCGAAUUGGACAAGGGGAGGGGGCGCGGCCCCCCUUUCCUUCCCCUUUCCCCUUCCGAAAGAAGGAAGGGGGCUGACUAGGACUAGGCGUCCUAGUCGGUUCCCCCCUCCCCCACUUGGCGCGCCCCUAGGGCCGGCCUCCUUCCCUCUCCUCCUUUAUAUACGGGGGCAGGGGGCACCCCAAAGCACAUCAAUUGUUUCUUAGCCGUGUGCGGUGUCCCCCUCCACAGUUUACUCCUCCGGUCAUAUUGGCGUAGUGCUUAGGCGAAGCCCUGCGCGGAUCACAUCACCAUCACCGUCACCACGCCGUCGUGCUGAAGAAACUCUCCCUCGACACUUUGCUGGAUCAAGAGUUCGAGGGACGUCAUCGAGCUGAACGUGUGCAGAACUCGAUGGUGUCGUACGUUCGGUGCUUGAUCGGUUGGAUCGCCAAGACAUUCGACUACAUCAACUGAAUUAAGCUAACACUUCCGCUUUCGGUCUACGAGGGUACGUGGACACACUCUCCCCCUCUCGUUGCUAUGCAACUCCUAGAUAGAUCUUGCGUGAUCACAUGAUUUUUUUUUUGAAAUUGCAUGCUACGUUCCCCAACACUUGAGUCGUCUGACAAGGAGGACUAGGCGGAUGAAACAGCGAUGAUGCAGGCGGUCCUUGUAGACACGGAGCAUACGGAAGAGCUUGUUCUCAAAUUCAAUAUAUCAAAUCAAGGGCCAUCGAGUGUUGAAUCGGAGCAGUGCACGGGGCAUUUGACAUUGAUGGAUGACUACUUCUCCCUCGAUGCCCUAUUCGCGGACAAUUUUUGUCGGUGCUUUUGGAUGCGAAAAAAAUAUAUUCGAUCACCUAUACAAUGGUGACUGAUCCUACGAUGUCUAUUUCAUCUUGAAGAAGGAUGCCACAGGAAUGAUUGCAUUCUCUAUUACCAGAAGUACAUGGUUGCAUUGUGGAUGCUUGCAUAUAACAUGGCCGCGGAUUCAUAGGACGAGUACCUUCGGAUGUAUGGGAGCACAUGCGGAGACGUCAUGGUUAGAUUUGCUACUGCGCUGGUCGAGAUGUUUGUCCCUCCGUACUUGAGAGAACCAAAUGUUGCAGACACCGAGAGGUUCUUGGCAAUGUCCAAAGCAUGAAGGUGGUCAGGUUUGUUCGGAUCUCUUGAUUGGAUGCAUCAGAUAUGGAAGAACUAUCCAAAAGCUCUAUAAGGGCAAUACCAUGUUAACAAGCCCACCAUCAUUCUUGAAAAUAGUUGCGUCAGAGAACCUCUGAAUUUGGCACGCCCGGAUCUCACAAUGACAUUAAUGUGCCGGUCUCCAUUGUUUGCUAGGCUAACUUAAUUAAGGGCAAGCUCCUCUUUGCAACUGUACUAUCAAUGAGCAUCAAUACAACAUGGGCUACUAUCUUCUUGAUGGUAUCUAUUCUCUGUGGGCUACCUUCAUCAAGACCAUCUCUGAGCUAGUUGGUCAGAAAAUAUUUCACUUUACCCAAAGACAAGAAUGAGCUAGAAAAUAUGUGGAGAGGGCAUUUAGAGUGCUCGAGUCCCAUUGCAGUUGUUCGUAGACCUACUAAACAAUGGGAUCCAGAGACCUUGUGGGAGGUGCUGACAUGUUGUGUGAUCAUACAUAACAUGAUAGUGGAGGAUGAGGGUGAAGAUGUUGCCGUGGGUCUAGAAUUUGAAAACGUGGGUGAUCAUAUCCAACUUUCAGAUCAAAAUUCGGCCACGUUUAACAAGUUUGUUCAAAUGCAUCAACAAAUUCAGCAUCAGGCAACUCAUUAGCAGCUCAAGAAAGAUUUUAUUGAGUAUCCAUGAGCGGUUAAAGGGGACAACUAGAACAUAUGUGCUAGUUGAAUUCAAGUUUGAACUAUUAAAAAAACUUAGUUGGAUUGUAAUAUUUAAAUUAGAACUAUUGUCGCAUUUGAAUAUUUUCAAUCAUCUAUAAUUUGACAUGCUAUUAUUUUGAGCUCGUGGAUUUAAAAAAACAAAAGAGGCGGAAGUUUUAAGCAAUGCUUGGGCUGAGUUUGCCAGGUCUGAUUGGGUGCCGGGCAGUGGCCGGGAAGGCCGCCCAGACGUUUGGACGGAUAUGGGGGGCUACAGUUGGAUGAUCUUACCCUCCCUAAUUUGAUCCUACGAUGUGAUGAUCGAGCCACCCUUAGACGUGAACUCCUCCACCAGAUUUGUGCCCCUAUCACCUGGCUACCAAUAAAAGUUUCGGGGUAGCGCGUACUCAUUGUCCAUGAAGACAAGGUGAUACCCUGCAUGUUGUUGCACAAAUAUUUUGUAAAAUAUUUCAAUAAUAUUUGAUUGUAUGAAUGUGAAUAUUUGGAGUAUAAUAUGAUAAGUAGAACUAAAAAUACAUUCAUACAAAUACCAAAUAUUUAUUAUGUUUAACUAUUGUAUAGUUGUAAAAUAUUUUUAAAUACCAAUAGCAAUAAUAGAAUAAAAAUUCCCAUGCAUGUUAAAGUGGGCAUUUUCCUAUACAUGGAUGUAUGUUGAUACGAGUCAUUUUUCAUGCAUGUUAUAUGUGGAGCCUAGCUCAGAUGGUUAUAUUUUUUGUGGUGGAACCAGCCCAUCAGGGUUUAAGUCCUAAACUUGGCAUUGGUGCUCGCAACUUUUUUAAUUCAUUUUAGGUUUUCUCAUUCCGUGGAGGAGACAUUCCCUUCAACUAUGAAGGAAACUGUGUUGCCUUCGUCAAUCUCAGGAUGAUGUGUCGAUUCAGUCUUUCGAAGAUACUCAUAAGGGUUAGAUGUGCGUGCGUGCACACAUUCGUAGAGACUAGGGGUUGGGGCGCCACCCAGUGGCACCUCCUGGGAGGAAGUUUGUGCGGUCCCAGCUUGACAAGCGACCUUUCCACCCCUUUUUUCUCGAAUUGCUGGUGAACAUGCACAUAUAAGCAAGAAAUUUGCAAUAGAAUUUACAACUAAUAACAAAUCAAACAACCUUUGAACAAACAACAGUAUUUUAGGCCUUGAUGCCUUUGGGUGGUGGAUUAUUCCCAACCAGAUUAAACACUAUAUUAUGAAUAACAACAAAAAAUUGUAAAACCAAACUGGCAUAGAACCAAUUGUACACUUGAGGGGCAUGAGGUUGAUGCUCGGCCAACAGUUGAAAGUUUAUGACGACAGAGUUGAAGCUCCUCCUGUUCACCGGCUGAAGCUCUGCUAGCAGUAGAUGUUUACAGUGACGCAAGAGAUGCUAUCUUUGCUCCUCCUGUUCACCGGCUGCUCCGUCAGAUGCUUCGCAGCUGCCUGUCCGUCCCUCUGGUGUCAUUGAUCUCAUCAACAACCUCCCUUGAUUGGUCAUCACUUUUGUGUCAUACUAUUUUUGUUACUGUCAUUUGCAUAAUGUAAACUUAUAGCUGUGUAAAUAAUGAAUGUUUUGUAUUAACACCCAAUCUGAGUAACUGUGCGUACUAAUCCUGCUUGUAUAUUUGUUAACGUGCAUAUGCAGUCCAAAUGAGCGUCAGUUAAAAAAGAAUACACGUAAUAGAAUGCAGCACGAGAGUAUUCACUCAUAAAGCAGAAGGGGUAACUCGAUGACCCAAAAUCAUGCCUAAUUCUGGUUUGAACAAUCAACAGAUAAGGUAUGCUCCUAUUGCCUGAAAUAGAAAAAAUAACUUAAGAAGUACUACGAUGGUGGCUAUUAAAGAAUGUGGUUAUGACCAAAAUGUAGUAAUAAGAAAAGCAUUGACUACCUAAUGAAUAAAUUUAGAAAGAACCAGGAAAAACCAAUAUCUGCAACAAUGGGAACUACAAGUAAAAUAUUUUCUGGUGGUCUAAUCGAAUUCAUAUAAACUUGGAAGGAGAUAAGUGCAUGUGGAGUAAAAUACACAUCCGCUGAGAUUUGAAUUCCCUAGUAAGGAUUUAUGUUGAAUGGAAUCGACAAUCAUAACAAUAUGAGUAGUUCUUAGCUUUUCUUGAACAACAAAUAUAGCAUAAAUAUAUGAACAUACACUAACUGGUUUCAUGGGUGCCACAUUACCACUGUCAUACUUAAUUCUUGAUUGUAUAAACUAUAAAGAAAAAGGAAAAAUGGCAGAAAGUAAAAUAGUUUAGUAGUUCCACAAUCCUUUUUUCUGUUCAUAGAUAACUGAAGGCUUGUGGGUUGCACAUCUCUCUUUGUCGAACAGAAAAAAAGACUACCAAAUGUGUCUUUCCUUUUUAAGGCCACAUGAUUUGUUAAGCCAAACAAAUAAUUCUACGAGAAAACUGAACAUACACAAGAUAUCAACAUAACUAUUAGAAUGUAAGUUCCAAAAUAUCUAUAAAAUAUCUUGCUGAAGUAACAAUAAUAAUAAAUACCUGAAAAUUAUCUACGUUGGCUUUCUUUGCUGACUGGUUAUGUAGAAGUCCAGUACAAGUUCCCGAAAUGCAAAGUUAAAGCAAAUUUACAUCCUCCAAGUGUUGAUAUUCAUAGAAGCUAGAGAUUUUUUCUUAAUAAGAAAUAUUACAUCCCCAAUAUGAUGACAACACCAUAAGAUACAUGUGACAUGUGGGGUAAUAUAGUGGGCCCUACAUGUCCCAAUAAUUGGAAUAUUGAAUUCUCUUGGAUCAACUCCAAGCACUUCCGCCUGCAAAAAAGCAACAAGAGGAACAGUAAAUGAGAAAGAGCCAUAAGCAUUGCAAGUAGAGUAUCUAAGCACAUGAUGUUGAGCUUGAGCAUGUAAAAGCUUUUUAAGAUAAGAUAUUCAAGAUAGUUUCCUCAGGCUGCAUACCACAAAGGUGUUAGGCCUCGCCACAUCAAAUGUUGUCACUCCAAGGAGACACUUGGGAUAAUAAGUUCCAGCUCUCUUGAAAACCUCCGCAACAAUGGGGGCGGUUGAGUUCACAGGGUUGCUGAUCAAACUCACAAUUGCAUUAGGACACUCUUGGCAACGCCUUCACAGAUUGAGCAAACAAUCCUAGCAUUUUUGUUGAACAGAUCAUCCCUUG
rnacentral:lncRNA from 1 species